UUAUUAUAAAAUACGGUUCACUUUUCAUGUAUCUGAUAUAUAUAUAUAUAAAUUUUCUGAAUAAGAAAAACUUCUUAACUACUUGAUGAAUGAAGAAUAAACUUAUUGAAUAAUUGUGUUUUACAAAACACUAAUGUAGCGCAAAGCUAAUGAUGAUUCAUGUUUUUGUUCACAGGUUCAACGUUGUGCUGAGGACAAAACAAUAUUGGUAACAACAUAUGAAGGAACACAUAACCAUCCACUUCCACCAGCAGCUAUGGCAAUGGCCUCAACAACCUCAGCAGCUGCAAGCAUGUUGCUAUCAGGUUCAAUGUCAAGUGCAGAUGGAAUAAUGACACCAAAUUUAUUAGCAAGAGCUAUUCUUCCUUGUUCUACAAGCAUGGCAACACUUUCAGCUUCAGCGCCAUUCCCAACUGUUACAUUGGAUCUAACACAAAACUCAAACCCAAUCCCAAAUCCAAAUCCAUUGCAGCAAUUUCAAAGACCUCAUCAUGCACCAUUUCAAGUGCCUAAUUUCUUUCCAGGACAACCUCAGAAUUUUCAACAAGCAGCAGCGUCGCUUUAUAAUCAAUCUAAAUUCUCUGGUCUUCAAUUGUCUCAAGAAGUUGGUUCUUCGCAUUUAACAACUACACAAGCUCCAACGCUCCAACAACAACAGCAACAAUCUUCCUUAGCUGAUUCUGUCAGCGCCGCCACCGCUGCUAUCACGGCCGAUCCUAAUUUCACCGCUGUUCUCGCCGCCGCUAUCUCCUCCAUCAUCGGUGGUGGUCAUGGAAACAACAGCAGCAACAACAAUAGCAGAAGUACAGUUAGCAACUUUUCAGGAAACUAAAUCACUUUGUUCUUAGUUUCCUUUGUUUUUCAGAUUAAUAUUAUUCCUUUUUUAUUUCAAGAAAUAUAUCAUUCCUUUUUUUUGUACAAUUUUUAAGGGAUCAUAAAUGUUGAUAUUCUUUUUAGUCCAUGUGUUUGGAUUAAGAGGAUAUAUAGGAGAAUAGUAGAUCAUAUAUGAAAGAAAAAAAUCACUUCAAUUUUUUGUUUUAUUGUACGUUGAACAAUCUUGGGUAUGUUAUUCAAAAUUCUUAGACAUGUGAUAUAGAAAAGGAAAAUGAAAAUAUGUAUCUAUCUUUUUUCUUCAUUUGUUUCAUCGUUAUCUUUCCUUAAUUUGGACCGUAACCUUUGUGGAAAAUAUUGAAAACGACAUAGAUAGUUAGUAUUAGUAACCCAUGUACUAAAGAACAAAAAAAAAAGAGAAAGAAAGAAGAAAAGUGUUGAACAUAGAGAGCCAAGUGAAUAAUCCAUGUUUGCUAAGAAUAUCCGAAUUAUUUUAUUGGUCAAGAAAUACGGCCAUUAAUAUUUGAUAUUGACACGUUAAUGUAUGGUAGGAAGUAGUAAUCCAAAGGUGGACUUAGCUACACUAAUUUGAAUUUGAUUUUGAUUUUUGGAGUGUCGAGGCUAUAGAGUUUCUUAGUAGGUUCGUGUGGUGUUGUUAUACUACGUGAUUGUAAUAAUGGUGAUUGAUGAGAAAUAGAUAAGGUCAACUUAAUAAUAAAUAUAGGAGAAGGAAAUUGAAAAGUGAGUUGGUGGAUGUUGAUUGAAAGAAGAAGAAGAAGUAUACAAUUUUUGACUUUGUUUGCGGUUAUGGUGGAACUCACGUUCACGUUAAUGGCACCUUAAUAUCUGUUUGGACUAAUCAUGUGAGUGUAUUUAUGUUAGGGGAUGGAACCAGACAUAAGGACAUGUUACCUUAUGGGGUUGGUACGUAGUGGCACCGUACUAUGUUUCCACCGUACGUUGCAGUCUUCGUCGACUCUCGUUUGACUUUAUCCAAACCAACGCGGGCACUUGUGUAAGAUUAUGAUUAACAGGCUCUCUCUCACACACAAACAUGUUUAGGGUGAAAUAAACAAAUGUUAUUUUCUUUUUCGAUCUCUUGAAUUUUUUUUGAAACUUUAGAAAUUGAUAAAAAUAGUAUUUAAAUUUUAAAACUAUUUAUGAAAUAUUUAUAUUUUAGAAUUCAAACAAUAAAAUUAUAUAUAAAUUUAUAUAUAUAUAUAUAUAUAUAUAUAUAUAUAUAUAUAUAUAUAUAUAUAUAUAUAUAUAUAUAUAUAUAUAUAUAUAUAUAAGCGAAGUUAUCAUGCUUUCACACAUAAAAACCGUCACUCUAAAAAUAAAACUCUAACAUUUAUCUCGUACUAAAAGGUAGGCAAGUUCAUAUGUUUUAUCCUUCUUCUUCAUAAGCUUUCUAUACAAUUUCUUUCAUUUUUAUGUGUUUAAGUUAUUCCAUUUUUCUUUGUUUUUCAUACGCUUUCAUUUGGCAUGAUUUUCGUGUUCUCAUUUGGAAGAAAGCUUAGAGUUUUGGAUUUAGGAUUUUUAUUUGGCAUGAUUUUCGUAUUUUCAAUUGGCAGAAAGCUUAGAGUUUUGGAUUUAGAAUUUUCAUUUGGCAUGAUUUUCGUGUUUCUUGGGUUAUCUCUAUUUGAAUCUAUGUUUUAGAAAUGGAUAUCACUUACCAUAUUUGUUCCAUGUAUGACAUUAGUUCUUCUUAAAAAUCUAAAAAUCUUUGUUACCAUAUUUCCUCUAUGAAAUGAUCUUUGUUUUCGUGUUCUUCUUACAAAUCUAAUUUGUGUCUAGGUCAAUUUUAUUACGUUUAAGACACAAGUUCAAUAGAGACAUCAGAGUAUUAUACAUUUCUUGGGUUUCCGUUUAUGUUAACAUGUUAAUGUCAUGCUAGUUUAUGUUUUCAAAUUAGGUUAAUAUGUUGUAUGUAGGAUUACAAUGUCAUGCUAGUUUAUGUUUCCAAAUCAGGUUAAAUGAUAAUAUACAUUUUGACUUGUACGUGUGGUUCACAAAUUGUGUGUUGCUAUGAAGAAAAAAUACAAGGAGGACGAAGCUAAUGUGAAAGUUGCAUACUUGUGUGAAAGAUCCAGAUCAUGAGACACUAGUUUUUCGCUCUCACUUCAGCUUCAUCCUUCUUUCAUUGUGGAUUCCAUUCUGAGACAAGUAGAUCAUUUCUUCAUCUUCAUUCUCCCCAACUCUUUUCAAUAAAAGUUACGUGUGUGAAACAUUUUAUGAGUUGAUAUGUUGUUGUUGUUCAAAAUGAUUGCCUCGUUUUUUAAUUCCAAUUGAGUUUAUUAUAUCAUAUGUAGAUUUCUUGUUUCACUAAUCUUUCACUAAACAUGCAUUCAUUUAAAUUGAUUUAGAAAAUGAUAAUCUAAAAAUUAGGUUAUAUUUGAAAACCAACUUAUAUCAAUCAAUAUCUUUCGAAUUACAUGCAUCUUGUAAUUCAUCUCUCAUUCUUUAACAUAUAAAAUUUGGUUCAAUGCCCUAAGUUCUUCAAAGCAAUAGUUCAUUCUCUUUUAUUUUUUAUUGCAAAACAUAAAAUUUGUUGAGAAAUUUUGAAUCAUCUUCAUCAUUGUCAUCAUAAUAAUAAUCAUCAUCAAUUAAAAUAAUGAUGAUGAGAGUGAUGAUGAUGACUCAAAAUUAGUCAACAAAUUAAUGCUUUGCAAAAUAAACUAUAACGGAAUUAACCGUUGCUUUGAAUAAUUUUGGGCAUUGAACCAAAUUCUAUAUGUUAAAGAGCGAGAGAUAGAUUACAAGAUACAUGCAAUUCGAAAAAUAGUGGAGUGUCCAAGUUGUUUUUCAAGAAUGAUUUAAUUUUUUAAUUGUUAUCUUCUAAAUCAAUUUAAAUGGUUGUAUAUGUUUAUUGAGGGUUAAGGAAAAACAAGCAACCCACAUAUUUUAUAAUAAACUCAUAUAUAUACCAUCACGGUUGGAAUAUAUAAUUGUGGUAAAAUGAUAAUUUUAUUUGUACUUUAAUUAAGUUGUUGCUAAUGGAUUUCAAACUCAUUACCUAUGUAUAUCACAAUGGUUGGAAUAUAUGAUCGUUGUGAUAGGUAGUGCGCUAUCUAGUUUAUCACAACAGUCAGACGUCCGUGGUGGAAAAGAUCAUACCUACAACCACAUUGUACCUCACAACGGUUGAUCAACCGUGAUGAUAUCCCUUUUUCAAUCAUUUUAAGAGGGGGUUUUCGUAGUAGUGUCAAUAUGCAUGAUGUUUUUUCUUAACAAUGUCUUACCCACCGUGGACUUAUAUGAGGUAUUGGACACUAUUUCUUCAAAUAUUUGUACCAAAUGUUAUAACUCUCAUACACAAGCAAUAAUAAUUCGAAAUAUAAAUUUAAGAUUAAAACAAAUCUACUUAUAUGAAAUGAGUAUUAUACAAAUAUCCAAGGUGAAUGAAUCGCUCACUUUUUUUUUGCACGCACCGUAACAGAAGAUAAGUUUUUGAAAACAAAUAUCUACUUAGUAGAACCACAACACUUAUAUAUAUAUAUAUAUAUAUAUAAAAUAUGGCAUAAUUAACAAUUUAUUUUGCUUCAGGAUUUAUGGUGUCUUUAACCUAAUUGAAUCGACUUUUCAUCCCAAACAUCUAGAGAUAAUCUACAUGAUUAUUGUGCAUUUCCCUUAUAAGAUCAAGACGGAAUAUUGUAUGAAAGUCAAUAUAUCGGUUGAGUAACCUUGAUAUAUAAUGAAAUCUAAAAUGACCCUUUCCUUCGAUAUCAAUGACAUUUUCAAAAUAUUGAUGCAUAAACAGAAGUAAAUCAUAUUGAUUUGGGAAGGAUCGUCGCAUUGGUGGAGGAUUAGGUAAACAAUUAAUAUGACAUAGACUCUUUCUAGUUACACAUGAUGACUUCUUCUCUGAAGCCUAUGUAUCAGGAUGCAAAUCUUCGACAUGCUCUAAGAAAAAUGGUCACUCUAACUGUAAAAAUUUCUCUUUGAUGCAUCUUUUGUCUUAGUGUUAUUUGUUGGUAGAAAAGCCAAAGUUUUUUAUAUAUAAGAAAACUGGCAAAACUUUUCUUUCCCAUGCACACGCAUACUACAAUACCAAUUAUAAACCUAACAUGUAAUUCACAAAAACAUAUUACGAUCUUUGAACAACCAAUUGAAAUUGGCAGCGUUGGUAAUGGUGUAAUUUAAAUUCUACAAUCCAAAUCAACAAAACACCAUAUGAAUGAUUGAAUCCUACGAAUAAAAACGCUGACACCAAACGACAUACACACACCUGAAUAAUUUCUCACUCUAAGAGAACGGGUAACUUAAUGAACUUUCUUCAAGUCUUCAUCGUCGUUGUUGAAUCUCAUCAUCUUCCAUUGAGUGUGGAAUUCAUCCAAACCGAUGAAUUUAUUAUGCAACAACUUCUUCGUAAUUAUCUAUGUGCACGACAAUUUGACAGUUAUUCUAAUUUAUCCACCACAUUUAGAUUUAUCUAUAUUAUACCCCUUCCCUCAAUUUUCUUCCCUCGAUAUUAAAUGCAAUUCAUUUCUAGAAAUAUUUCCAACAAUUCGAGAUAAUAGCAUCUUCUUUUUUUUAUUUGUGUAACUUAAAAUGAUGUUAUUUUGAAAUGAAGCUUCAGUCUCUACAUGUUGCAUCAAUACCAUAUUGUCAAAUCAUUCCUAAUUUUUGUAUAUAUCACUCAUGUUGUUUGUUAGCUAAAUUGUUAAUCAACUGUGAACAUACUUCAUCCUAUUGGUUGUAGUAUUUAUAAUAUGCAUGACUCAAUCAGUCCAAUGUCUUAUCAUAUUCUCCUUCACAUGUCUCGAUAUUGUACCUUCUACCAUACUGUACUUUCUACGUAUUUUAUAAAUUUGAAAUUUUUUGCACAAACGAUAUUGAAGAUGCGGAGAGGCUGAAAAUAUGUUUCUCUCAGUUAAAUUUCAGUAUAGUUUUUCAGGCUCCAUUACAUUUUUUUUUUCAUCCUUUAGAAGGAGAUUCAACAUGGACAAUCAUAUUUGAAAUAAUGCAUAUUAAUAUAAAUUUAAAAUAGAUUCUAGUGUAGGAAGCAAUAUAUUAUGAUUUUAGAAUCCAAAGUACAAUAUAAGGGGUUUCUCAAAGGUUUGAGUUGUACAAUUCGAAGUGGCAUCAAUAUCUGAAUUUUACCAUCUAAAAUAAACCAACAUUAUGUCUUGCGAUGGAACAAAACACUAUAAAAUACAAUGAAAAAUGAUUAUGAGCCACCUCACCUUUUCUUUUAGACAAAAAUAUUGUAUUAGAAAUUCAUUGAUGAUUUGAAUGCCUAUUUUGCACUUUUAAAAUGAUUUUAGUAGAGUUUUAAAAAAAAAGGAGAUGAUGAACACAAAUUUCUAGUAAAUGAACUAGAGUUCUAAAAUUUUAAGGCGUCAAAAAUAUGAUUCAAAUUUUAGAAUUUAGAGGCCAUUUUUGUCAAUUUCAAAAAAAUUUAAGACUCUAAAUGUGAAAAAAGAAAAUCAUUAAAUAAAACAAUAAGUAAACAUAAUGGAGGCCACGUUCAAUUCAUCUAGACUUCAACACUAAAAACACAAUAUUAAACAAAAAUUAUUCUACAAAAUUGGUGACCGCGUGAUCUUAUAUUGACGUUGAAAAUGACUUUAUUUAAAAACAAUUAUUUUGUCAAAUAGAUAUUUCUAUUUAAAAACGGAUGGAGUAAUUAGAUUUUCUUUGAAUGAGUUCAUGUGCUUGCAUGUGAAGGAGAAGACUAAUUUCAUAGUUUGUUCCUUAUCAAAAUCAGUUCAACAUGAGUCAUGAGGUUUCGAUGGAAUACAAAAUUGAGAUCUGUGUGCUUCUAUGACAACAAGAAAGAUAUGGUGCAUUUAUUGAGUUUGAUUUUAUUUCCAUGGACAAAAAAACAAGUAAACUCUCUUCUUUUGUAAAAAGAACCAAAAAAAAAGUACACUAUCUUCCAUCUCGUUACUAAAACUAAAAACAAACAAAAAGUUUUAAAAUUUAAAAUAUAAAAAAAAAACUACUGGAAAGUGUUUAUUUAAAUAUAUUCUAACUAUUAAAUUAAUCGUCAAAAUUAUAUACAUAGAAAUUAAUUAAUUUACACUAUUUAAUAUUAUCAUUUUAAAGCGUUUUUAAUUAAAUAGUGUUAUUAUCAUAAAAUAAGUUACUAUAAGGCAAUUAAAAGAAAUGAAACUUAUUUAAAGGAUACAAUUAUUUUGAUAAAUAAGAUUUACAACUAUACUUUUAUUCAUUGGACAGUUAGUUUUUAAAUAUAUUGAGAUUAAUUCAUUGACAUACUUUUAAAAGGGAAGUGAUAUAUAAACCAUAGCCAUCAAAUUCUGGGAUAGAGAUUGGUCAACUUUAGGUUUUGGUGACUUUGCUACUUUUCUCUCUAUCUAUCUCUUUACCUUCCUUCUUUCUCAUCUAAAAACUUAUUUAAACUAAUCAAAUAAUACUCCUAUAUCUUCAAAUUACUACAAAAUCGCCAAUUCAUCAAAAUAUAUAUAUAUAUAUAUAUAUAUAUAUAUAUAUAUAUAUAUUAUUUCUAUACCAUUUCUUAUACCAAAUAUAUACAUUGUAUACACUGUUCAUCGUAUUUAUAUAGUACAAUGAACAGUAUUUUUUUAAAUAAAAAAAAAUACAGUACGUGAACAGUAACCGUGAACAGUGUCUUUAAAGUCGUGAAAUAAAGUUAGUUAAUGAAAUGUAAAAAAUUAGUUAAUUAAGUGAUGAAGUUGGUUAAUACACGCCCAGAUAUUAAAAAUAAUUUUUACUAAUACACCAAAGUUAGUUAAUAAAAAGUAAAAAAUUGGUUAAUAAAAUUAUGAAGUUGAUUAAUAAUAAGUGUUCAAUUGUCCAAAAUAAUUUUGAGCAGUCAUCGAAGUUGGUUAAUACUGUAAAUUUAAGGAGUGCCUUAGAGGGGGGUGAAUGAGGCACUUAGACGAUUUUCCGGAUUUUUUACGGUUUAUUGAGUCUUACUUUCUUGAGAUGCUUAUGUGAUGAAAAGCGGUAAAGUGCGGAAAGUAAAGAACACCACGAUGUAUAGUGGUUCCCCUCACAGAUCGAGAGUACUCCACUCCCCUUUCAACACGAAAGAGAAUUCACUUAGUGCGGAAAGUAAAGAACACCACGAUGUAUAGUGGUUCCCCUCACAGAUCGAGAGUACUCCACUCCCCUUUCAACACGAAAGAGAAUUCACUAUAAUGUUAGAUUCCUAGACAAGACACCUUAAGGAUUUUCUAUCUAAUUCUAACACACCAAGAACAAUCCUCUUGGAUUUACAAUGUUUAAAGUCCAAUCGAGACUCAAAUUCUCACAAAAGGACCUCUUGCAUCCACACACCGGAUAACAAGGAUAACACCUUACAAACUUAUUCUUAACAAUUCUAAAAAUAAGUUAUAAUCAAGAGAUACAAUUCUAAAUUUUUGUAGAAGAUGAAAUAGCUGGAAAAUUGAAGUAUAUCAAUUUAUCAAUUGAUCUUCUCCUUUGUAACACUCAAUUCUCACAAUGAUUGUACAAGUGUUCUUUGUAUGAAAUGAAACUAUGAUGCUUAAAAGGAAAGUUUAUGCAAGGUUUCACUCUUAAGAAAAUUUGAACACUUCAAAUAUUUUUGAAAUAAUAUGAGUAAUUGAUUUGAAAUUUUUGCAAGGAGGUGAAUUUGAAAUCAGAAAAAAUGAUGUAUAUAUAUUGUCUAAACACCUCCUCAAAUGGAUGCAAUUACCCAAAGGAUGUCAUGGUUCAUGGUAAAGAAUAUAGAAAAGUUUCCAUGAAGAGAUGCACUGAUUUUUGCCUCUAGUUCAGUGGUAAUCGAUUACCUUAAUAUGGGUAAUCGGUUACUUGCCUCCAACGUGUAAAAAAUAUUUGAAUUUUAAACAGAGUAAUCGGUUACCUUAAAAUGGAUAAUCGAUUACUUCAUCCCAGAUUUGAAAAAUAACUUAAAAAAUGAAGUGUUAUGAUUUCUUUGAUGCAUAAAAAUACUUUCAAUGAUUAUGGCAUGAAUGAGGCAUGUUUUGAACACUUGUAUAAUUAUCUAGAGGUCAAGUGUUAUACCUUAUUCAUUUGAAAUACGAAUCUUCAUGAGUUUCAUCGAGACUUGAUCAUUUAGUUGAAAACUUCCUUCAUGAGCUUGAAUCUUGAUCAAUCUUUUUUGUUAAUCAAUCUUAGACUUGUAGAGAAGUUUGUCGUCAUCAAAACAUUUGAGAAGUCAUGUCUUCACAAAUACAACGUAAAGGGUUGGUUAAUAAAAUUAUGAAGUUGGUUAAUCACACAAUUUUAUAUCAAUAUCAUUUAAUUUUAAAAUAAAAUUAAUAAUUUAAUAAUAUUUUACUUUUAAAAAAUAUAUUAUUAUAAUAUUUUAUUGUUCACCGUAUUGGUGAACAGUGAAAUAUGAUGUUGGUUUUGGUGUAGGAAUAUCAUUUCUCACUCGUCAAAGGUAACAAAUUCAUUUUUCAAAUUCUGAGGUUAAUUAAAUAUAGUGUUAUUUAGUUUUUAAUAUUUUUUUAUUAAAUAGGGUAGAAGCCUAAAAGAUUUAUUUUAAUGAUAUUUUUUAAUAUGCACCCUGGGCACCACGUAAAAAUAUAAGAAUGUGUCCAUAUUCUCGAGAUGUAUCUUUGAACGCACCAUGCAUUCUUGUAUAUAGGAUACAUUAAGAAAUGUCAUAUCUGAUGUAUUUUCGAAUCUUAAAAAGUCACAUUCCUUGAGAGCUUUAAGAGGGAUGUGCCCAAGAAUGUCCUUCUAUAAGGAAAUAAAAUUUUCAUAUUAACUUUAAACCAAACAGGGCGCAGUGUCGUAGAGCGGUUAGUCUCCAAACUAAACAGAAAUUUUGCACAUGCUGAUUUUGAAUCAAUACAAAGCUUUGAGUUGGCUAUCCUUUGAAUUGAACUGCGGUUUUAAAUAGACAGACCAUGAGCCAAAUUAAGAUUUAUAUCAAGUUGAUCUCAAACCUACUAAGUUGUUAUACCAUGCUAAACAAGUAUACAAAAGGAGAUUUUAUAUCGGGUUGAUCUCAAAUUGAUAAAGUUUUUAACCAGUCUGAGCUCAAGAACCGUUGUGGAGAUUUUCACUGGCUGAUCUUCAGAAGCCAAAAGAGAUCUUUUUCUCCAUGACAGAACUCAUUAACCAAACAAAGAAUUUCUAAGAUAACACCCCCCCCCCCNAACCCCCCCCCCCCCCCCGGUACAAACAAGAGCUUCUAACUAUUUUAGCUAAUAACCAAAUUAUCAACUUCCUAUGGAAGAAUUAUUUACAUAAGAAAAAAUACACUCUUAGUAUAUUUACAACUUUGCCUGAACAAAUAUCUUCACUUAUACUGAAGAACACUCUCGAAGUAUUAUGGCUAAAAUACGUGAGAAAAUAUUAGAGAUUUAGUGAGGCGAUGAGAGAAAUUAAAAUGAUGAUUUUCAAGUUUUCUGGAUGUUUAAAAGUGAUAGACAAACUCUUUAUGUAUAGGUCAAAGGAUGGUAUAAAUUUCUAAAUAAUCCAUGGCCUUAUUCAAUGUCCUAAUCGCUUAAGCAAUCUAAAUUAUUGAUUCCUAAGACCUAAAUGGAAGAUUUUGAUAUAGAUUCGUUACUAAUCUUAAGAGACUAUCUCAAUCAUUUAUAGACUCAACCAAUCAUUAUCUAAUCGAUUAGACUUAUGGUCUAAUUUAUUAGACAGUUAGAAAAAGUCCUCUAAUCAAUUAGACAUUACCCUCAUCAAUUGGCUAGGCCUUGUCAUGCCGCGAAAAAUACAUAGUCUCCACCGAACUUUAUUUAUUCAAAAGAAAAGUGAAAAUAUCGAUAAAACCCUUAAAAGAAAAAGAAGAUGGUCGUCGCAACCAAAUUCGGGUUCAAAAGUCGAUUGUGCAGAGGAAGGUAUUAGCACCCCGCACAUUCGUUGUACUCAAUGGGAAUCAUUUUGGUUGUUCUUUACGGACGGGUGUUAUUAUCUAAAGGUUACUUGCGAUUGGUUUUAAUUAAGAGGGGAAAAUAAGUUUUUAAUUAGUGUGCUCGUCAAGAUUUUGAAAUCUAGUGCCUACGUAUUCCCAUAGUGCAAUGAGAAAACCAGAACUUCGUAGUUUGUGAAGUAGAAAAUAAAUGUUUGUUGGUUGUUUUUAUUAAACGAUGUUAACGUUCGUGUUCUAGCUGUAACACCCCAAUUAAAAUAAGCUAAUUAUUUAAUUUAAAUUAAUAUUUUAUUUAUUAAUUUAAUUGAAUAAUUAGAAGUUUGGAUUAAUAAUAUUAUUAUUUUGGAAUAAUAAUUAUUGGGAUUUUUUAUUGAUUGGUUGUGAAUCAUUUUGCAUGUAAUAUGUUACAUGUUUGGGAAUAAUUGAAUUGAUUUCUAUCCGCUGCGUAUUAUGCAGAUACUUUAUAUUUUGAAUUGGAUAAAUGAGCAUGACAGGACACUUUGAUGAUUAGUGUGUGAUGNAUUAAUUAUGGAUUAUUAUUUUUUAUUAUUGGAAUAAAGUGGAAAUCAGUAAAAAGGUCCCAUUUAGUAAAAAGGUUAUUGUUUCAACGUGAAAAGGAAAGAGACAGAUCGUGGAAAAGGGCAAAAAGAGAACCAGAGAAAGGGAUUGAAGGGAGGAAAAGCUUGAAGCUGCGAAUUUGGCGAUUAACUCAGGUAAGGGUUUAUCGUUGAUUUACAGGGUAGGUAUUAUAUGUCAUGGGUAGUGAUAGACCUUUAAUUUACCUUUGAAUGGAUUGAUUAUGAUGAAUUUGUGGAAUAUAUUGAUGAACGAAAUUGGGUGAUAACCAGAAAUUCGUAGGAAAUUGCAUGUGAUAAUGUCAGGAGUUGUGAAAUCGAAUAGGAAUGAUCGGUGUAGAUGAUAUGAGUGAUUUCUGUGUAAAUUUGGACUGUGGAAGGUGAGAUCGAAUAGAACUCGUAGCAGGAAAAAACCAUAGCAGAUCUGGAACCUGGUUUCUGGUCAUACGCGUAUGGCACUAGGCAAUACGCGUAUGGGAUGGCUGUAACGCGUAUGGCGCUAGCAAUACCGUAUGGAUGAGGAAGAUGACAUUUGAACGUAAAAUUGUCUCUGUUGUACGCGUAUGAGAAGUUGGUACGCGUAUCAUACGUUAGAACAGGUGAUACGCGUAUGAGUUGGCGAGGAAAAUGGCAAUAUCGCGUAUGAGAGUGGGCAUUAACGCGUAUGGAGUUGGCAGGUUUGGGCAAUACGCGUAUGGCAUGCGCAAUACGCGUAUGGGCAGGAUUGUGUUUCCCUGUGCUGUUGUUGUGCAGUUUUUGACUGGUUAGGCUGAGUAGUGAGACUUAGCUGAGGGUAUGAUGUAAUAGGAUCAUUUCCGUUGUUUUGAGUAGUAUAGGAUUAGUAGAGUGUCUACUAAACUGUGUGUUGAUUUUAUGCAUGUUGUGAUAUGCUUUGUGAUAAAUGUAUUGACAUAUGUUGAGGAUAGGUGUUGAUAUGCAGGAUGCUGUGAAUGUAUCAGUUAUGUAAUGCAUUUGUGAAUAGACUGUUUGUGGCUUAGAGUGUGAGCAUAUGUCUAUUUUGAGUUGUUGUUGUUGUUGUAUUGCUAGGUAAUUAGCAUGCAUGAUUAGCCUGUGGGGCUGUAGCUAUUCAUGGUGAGGAUUAGUGAGUGAAUUCUUGUGGAUUGUUGCUGAUGUUGCAUACUGAUGAGUAGUGUGCAUAGUCUAGCUUUGGGGCUGUAGCUAAUUCCAUGGUGAGGAAUUAGUGAGUGAGUCAUUAGAUCUCAAUGAGUGGGACUAGUGAGCUCAGUAGCCGUAUCCAGAGGGAUCGGUGAGCUUGGACUAUAUGUUCAAGAAGAGUCGUAGCAUGGCAUUUCAUGGGAGUUCAUACAUAAUGAAAUGCAUGGCAUAGCGUGGGGCUGUGUAAUUCCAUUGUGAGGAAUUAUGAGUAAAUCGUUGUGUUGUGUUGUUGGUGUUGAGCAUGUUUUGAAGUUUUACUAUGCUAUUUGUUAUGGUUGAGAUAUGAGGUUGCGUUGAUACUGCGUUAUGGAGUGGUGUUCUGGUUAGGGUGAUUUGAUGCGUUAUUUACUUAACAUUACAUGUUGUUGUAUAAUGCUUGUUAUAUUGUGAGGAACUCACCUUACAACUAUUUUUCAGGUAACGAGCAGUGAGUGUAGUAGAAGAUAAUGUUGGAGUCUAGUGUAGUCUCCUAGUGGGUCAUGCCCUGGUAGAUGUAACAUCGGGAUGGGAUGUUUGAAUUUUUAUUGGAUGGUUGUGAAUCAUUUUGCAUGUAAUAUGUUACAUGUUUGGAAUAAUUGAAUUGAUUUCUAUCCGCUGCGUAUUACCAGAUACUUUAAUAUUUUGAAUUGGAUAAAUGAGCAUGACAGGACACUUUGAUGAUUAGUGUGUGAUGUUUGUGUGACACCCUUCGGGGCAUAUAUUACUCUGAUUAAUAUGUUAUUAUUUUUAUUUAAAUAAUUUGGGGUAUUUAGAAGGGGUUACAUAGUGGUAUCAGAGCAUAGUCGGUCUUCGAAGUCGUAGUUAUCUGUUUCCCUGGUACGGGAUAGGUGUAUCGUGAUAACCCUAUCAGUACUUACUAUUUUAGCUUGUUGGGUUUCAGAAUGAGAUGGCUGGAAGAGGUAGAGUGAUGCGCGAUUGCGAGGCUCUGGGUAUGCUAGCGGGAGUACUUGGAGAAUCGAAUGUGGUGGAAUGGGAGCUGCUCGUCAGUUGAUGGUUCCAAAGAACAAUCCUCCAAUGUUCAGGGGCAUACGAAGAUGAUGGUGCUCAGAAGUGGUUGAAGGAGAUUGAGAGAAUCUUCAGAGUAAUGAGUGUGUCUGAUAAUCAGGGCAGGUUCGGUACGCAUAUCGUCAGAAGAAGCGAUGAUUGGUGGGUUCUACCCCCACCGAGUUGAGAACUGCUGGGAUGCUGAUAUUUCUUGGCGCUGUGUUCAGGAAAGAUUCUGAGGACAGUACUUUCCAGAGGAUGCGAGGAAAGAAAGAAUAGAGUUCCUUGGAAUUGAAGCAGGGUAACCGGACCGUUACUGAGUAUGUCUGCUAAGUUCACAGAGCUGCUGAAGUACUACACUCCCUAUGCUGAGGCUGCUGGGGAAUUUUCAAAGUGUGUGAAGUUUUGAGAAACGGGUUGCGUCCAAGAAUCAAGCAGGCAAUCUGGAUAUCAGCGAAUCAGGGUGUUUUCUGAUUUGGUUGAUUGUUGCAGGAAUUUUUGAACAGAUUCCAAAGCCAGAGCAGAGAGCUAUCAGAAGGGUUGAUAGGAAUGGGUAGAAAUCAGGUUGAUCGUGGGAAACGUAUGCCAGCUGGCAAAGGUUUUCAGAAGCAGAGUGGUAAGAGGCAUAGUGGGGGAGACUCUAGUGCUCCUGUUAAGUGUUACCGAUGUGGUCGGGCCUGGACAUCGUGUUCAUGAGUGUACCAGUGCUGAGAUGAAGUUUUCAGUGUGGAAAAGGUGGUCAUUUGGCUGCAGAGUGCCGUUGAAGACUGUACUUGUUUCAACUGUGGAGAGUUGGGUCAUAUCAGUCCACAGUGUCCAAAGCCAAAGAAAAGAGAAUCAGUCAGGAGGCAAGGUUUUGCUUUAUCGGUUCUGAGACUUCUGCAGAUGAUCGUUGAUCCGAGGUACGUUGUUAUAUUAUGGCUUUCCUCUUGUAGCUAUUAUUGACACAGGUGCGAUUCAUUCUUUUAUAUCUUUGGAUUGUGUCUGUGACACUUAAGUUAGAGAUAUCUGAGAUGCGUGGUAGUAUGGUGAUUGAUACUCCUGCGAAGGGUUCAGUGACUACUAUCUCUGUUUGUUUAAGUUGCCCCUUGAUUAUUUUUGGUAGAGCCUUUGGGAUAGAUCUGUGUGUCUUCCAUAGUGCAGAUUGACGUUAUUCUGGGUAUGAAACUGGUUGGUGUUCAACCGAGUUUCUAUCAACUGUUUUGAUAAGACUGUGAUAUUUCCUGAAGAUUGAAGAAGGAAGAGUUUGUUUCUAUCAGCCAGCGCGUGGAAUGAGAUAGUGGCAGUGGGCAGAGUUGUUUAUGCUAGUUAGCGAUCUUUGAAGCUAAGAUAACUGGUGAUUGGCGAUCAGCUGUAGUGUGUGAUUUUCCUGAGGUGUUUCCGGAAGAAGUGAAUGAAUUGCCACCAGAACGUGAAGUGAGUUCUCGAUGAUUUGGUACUGUACUAGAACCAUAUCGAUGGCUCCGUACCGUCAUGUCUGCUGUUGAGUUAGCUGAAUUGAAGAGUCAAUUUGGAAGAUCUGUUGGAUAAGAAAUUUAUUCGUCCGAGUGUGUCACCGUGGGGUGCCCAGUGUUGUUGGUUAAAGAAGAAGAAGGUAACUAUGAGGUGUGUGUGGACUACAGGCAAUUGAUAAAGUGACGAUCAAGAAUCGGUAUCCUUUUACCGAGGAUUGAUGAUUUGAUGGAUCAAGUGGUUGGUGCUAGUGUGUCAGCAAGAUAGACUUGAGAAUCUGGGUAUCAUCAGAUACGUGUGAAACUGAAGAUAUUCAGAAGACUGCCUUUCAGAACGAGGUAUGGUAAUUAUAGUAUUCUGUAUAUGCCUUUUGUGUGACUAAUGCGCCGGGAGUAUUCAUGGAUACAUGAAGUAGAAUUUCCAUCCGUAUCAUAGAUCCAGUUCGUUGUGGUAUUUAUUGAUGACAUUUUGGUGUAUUCGAAUCUGAAGAGAGCAGCUGAGCAUUUGAGAGUGGUUUUAGGAGUGCUGCGAGAAAGCAGUUUUUGCUAAACUCUCAAGUGUGAAUUUUGGUUAGAGAGGUUAGUUUUCUUGGUCAUGUGAUUUCAAGAGGUGGUGUUGCUGUUGAUCCUUCUAAAUAGACAGGGUAUCAAGUGGGAAGCUCCGAAGUCAGUUUCUGAGAUAAGAAGUUUUCUUGGACUUGCCGGUUACUAUAGGAGUUUAUUGAGGGAUUCUCUAAGUUGGCAUUCCGUUGACAAUGUUGACCACGAAAGGGCAAGCGUUUGUUUUGGGACUCAAAUUGAAGAAGGUUUCAAGAAGUUAAAGAGAAGGUUACUACUGCUCCUAUUCUGAUAUUACCGAGUUCGUCGAACCAUUGAGGUUUUCUUGUGAUGCUUCAUUGUUGGUUUAGGUGGUGUGUUGAUGCCAGAUAAGCAGGUUAUAGCUUAUGCUUCGAGACAACUGGGGUUAUGAGAGAACUAUCCGACACAUGAUUUAAGAGUUGGCAGCUGUGUAUUUGUUCUGAAGUUAUGGAGGCAUUAUUUGUAACGGGUCAAGAUUUGAAGUUUUCAGUGACCAUAAGAGUUUAAAAGUAUUUGUUUCGAUCAAGAAAGAGCUGAAUAUGAGACAGAGGAGAUGGUUAGAAUUUCUGAAGGAUAUAUUUUGGUUUGAAUUACCAUCCGGGUAAAGCAAACGUUGUGGCUGACGCAUUGAGUCGGAAAUCAUUGCAUAUGUCUAAUCUUAUAAUGACUAAAGAGUUGGAUUUAAUUGAGCAGUUUAAGAGAUUUGAGUUUGGUGGUGUGAGAGUACCUCACAAUAGUGUUAAAUUGGGAAUGUUGAAUUAACAAGUGGUAUUCUGAACGAGAUCAGAGAGGUGUCAGAAAUCCGAUAUGCUUUUGGUUGAUAAGUUGACGUUAGUGAAUCCAAGGUCAGGUGGUGAUUCAGAGUUAUGAGAAAUGGUGUUUUGAGAUUUGGCGAUCGGGUGUGUAUUCCGAAUGUUAUUGAGCUUAAGAAAGAGAUUCUUGAGGAGGGACAUCGUAGUGGCUUAAGUAUUCAUCCUGGAGCUACGAAGAUGUAUCAUGAUUUGAAAAGGUUAAUUUUGGUGGCCGGGAAUGAAAAGAGAAAUUGCGAGUUUUGUUUAUUCCUGUUUGACUUGUCAGAAGUCAAAGAUUGAGCAUCAGAAGCCGUCUGGGCUAAUGCAACCGUUGGCUAUUCCGGAGUGGAGUGGGAUAGUAUCAGUAUGGAUUUUGUUGCUGGUUUGCCGAGGACAAAUAAGAAUUUUGAGGCUAUUUGGGUGAUUGUUGAUAGAUUGACGAAGUCGGCUCAUUCAUUCCGAUCAGAAUGGAUUAUCCGUUAGAGAGGUUGGCUGAGUUGUAUAUUGAGAAGAUUGUAAGUUUGCAUGGUAUUCCGUCGAGUAUUGUUUCGGACAGAGAUCCAUAGAUUUACAUCAAAGUUUUGGGAUGGGUUGCAGAGAGCUUUGGGAACUAAGCUGAGAUUGAGUUCUGCAUAUCACCCCGCAACUGAUGGUCAGACUGAGAGGACGAUUCAGUCAUUAGAAGAUCUUUUGAGAGCUUGUGUUUUUGAAAAAGGAGGUGCUUGGAGAUUGUUAUUUGCCUUUGAUUGAAUUUACCUACAACAAUAGUUUUCAUUCGAGCAUGGUAUGGCACCGUUUGAAGCUUUGUAUGGUAGGAGAUGUCGGACACCUUUGUGUUGGUAUGAGUCGCGGUGAGAGUGCUGUGGUUGGACCGGAGAUUGUUCAACAAACUACGGAAAAGAUAAGAUGAUUCAGGAGAAGAUGAGAAUGCUCAGAGUCGUCAGAAGAGUUAUCAUGAUAAGAGGAGGAAGUCACUUGAAUUCCAAGAGGGAGAUCACGUGUUUCUUCGUGUUACUCCGAUAACUGGUGUUGGUCGAGCUUUGAAGUCGAAGAAGUUGACACCUCGAUUUAUUGGUCCUUAUCAGAUUUUGGAGAGGAUAGGAGAGGUAGCCUAUCGUAUCGCCUUACCACCGUCGCUUGCGAAUUUUGCAUGAUGUUUUUCAUGUGUCUCAGUUUGAGGAGAUACAUUCAUGAUCCGUCGCAUGUAGUCCAAAUAGAUGAUGUACAGGUGAGAGAUAACCUGACUGUUGAAACAUCACCUAUGAGGAUCGAGGAUCGACGAGUUGAAGAGUUGCGGGGUAAAGAGAUUGCCUUGGUGAAGGUAGCUUGGGGAGGACCAGCAGGUGGCAAUGUGACUUGGGAACUUGAGAGUCAGAUGAAGGAGUCUUAUCCGGAGUUGUUCGCUUGAGGUAUGUUUUCGAGGACGAAAACUCUUUUAGUGGGGGAGAGUUGUAACACCCCAAUUAAAAUAAGCUAAUUAUUUAAUUUAAAUUAAUAUUUUAUUUAUUAAUUUAAUUGAAUAAUUAGAAGUUUGGAUUAAUAAUAUUAUUAUUUUGGAAUAAUAAUUAUUGGAUUAUUAUUAUUUGGAUUAUUAUAUUUUAUUAUUGGAAUAAAGUGGAAAUCAGUAAAAAGGUCCCAUUUAGUAAAAAGGUUAUUGUUUUCACGUGAAAAGGAAAAAGAGACAGAUCGUGGAAAAGGGCAAAAAGAGAACCAGAGAACAAGGGAUUGAAGGGAGGAAAAGCUUGAAGCUGGCAGAUUGCCGGAUUAACUCAGGUAAGGGGGUUUAUCGUUGAUUAACGGGUUAUGUAUGAUAAUAUGUCAUGGGUAGUGAUAGACUUUAAUUACCUUUGAAUUGGAUGAUUAUGAUGAAUUUGUGAAAUAAUUGAUGACGAAAUUGGGUUGAUAACGAAAGAAAUUCGUAGGAAAUUGCAUGUGAUAAUGUCAGGAGUUGUAAAUCGAAUAGGGAAUGAUUCGGGUUAGAUGAUAUGAGUGAUUUCUGUGUAAAUUUGGACUGUGGAAGGUGAGAUCGAUAGAACUCGUAGCAGGAAAAACCAUAGCAGAUCUGGAAACCGCUGGUUUCUGGUCAUACGCGUAUGCACUAGGCAAUACGCGUAUGGGAUGGCUGGUACGCGUAUGGCGCUAGGCAUACGCGUAUGGAUGAGGAAGAUGGACAUUUUGAACGUAAAAUUGUCUCUGUUGAUACGCGUAUGAGAAGUUGGUACGCGUAUCAUACGCGUAUGAGACAGGUGAUUACGCGUAUUGAGUUGGGCGAGGAAAAUGCGCAAUACGCGUUUGAGAGUGGGCAUUACGCGUAUGGGUGGCCGGUUUGGGCAAUACGCGUAUGGCAUGGGCAAUACGCGUAUGGCAGGUAUUGUGUUUUCCUGUGCUGUUGUUGUGCAGUUUUGACUGGUAGCUGAAGUAGUGAGACUUAGCUGAGGUAUGAUGUAAUAGGGAUCAUUUCCCGUUGUUUUGAGUAGUAUAGGUAUUAGUAGAGUGUGCUAAUACUGUGUUUGAUUUUAUGGCAUGUUGUGAUAUUAUGCUUUUGUGAUAAAUGUAUUGACAAUAUGUUGAGGAUAGGUGUUUGAUAUGCAGGAUGCUGUGAAUGUAUCAGUUAUGUAUGCAUUUGUGAAUAGACUGUUUGUGGCUUAGAGUGUGAGCACUAUGUCUAUUUUGAGUUGUUGUUGUUUGUUGUUUGCUAGGUAUUAGCAGCAUGAUUAGCCUGUGGGGCUGUAGCUAAUUCCCAUGGUGAGGAAAUUAGUGAGUGAAUUCUUGUGGAAUUGUUGCUGAUGUUGGCAUACUAGAUGAGGUAGUGUGCAGUCUAGCCUUUGGGGCUGUAGCUAAUUCCCAUGGUGAGGAAUUAGUGAGUGAGUCAUUAGAUCUCAAUGAGUGGGACUAGUGAGCUCAGUAGCCGUAUCCAGAGGGAUCGGUGAGCUUGGACUAUAUGUUCAAGAAGAGUCGGUACCGCAUUUCAAUGGAGUCUCAUUACAUAAUGAAUGCAUGGCAUAGCCUGUGGGGCUGUAGCUAAUUCCCAUUGUGAGGAAUUAGUGAGUAAAUCGUUGUGUUGUGUUGUUGGUGUUGAGCAUGUUUGAGUAUUACUACCUAUGCUAUUUGUUAUGGUUGAGUAUGAGGUUGCGUUGAUACUGCUGUUAUGGAGUGCGGUAGUCUGGUUAGGGUGAUUUGAUGCGUUAUUUACUUAACAUUACAUGUUGUGUAUAAUGCUUGUUAUAGACAGGACACUUUGAUGAUUAGUGUGUGAUGUUUGUGUGACACCCUUCGGGGCAUAAUUACUCUGAUUAAUAUGUUAUUAUUUUUUUUAUUUAAAUAAUUUGGGGUAUUUUAGAAGGGUGUUACACUAGCAGUUAACUGUUGCUUGUAUACUCGUGCGUGGGAGGUUUAAGUGUUGUUUAUAUUGCGGUAGAACAAAAAUAACAUGUCUUUUUGAAAGGUUUUGAAUGUCUUAAGGCGAGGAAAUUUAAUUUGAUUGGUUGUGAUUGAUUUUAGUAUGAAGAUGAGUGUUAAAAAUUAUUUUGAUUUGAAUUUCACUAAAGUCUAUGAAUUGAGGUGAAUACUUUAAACAACUGGGUCAGGCGUCCCGUAUCCCAAGAUAUUGGGAAUGAGGAUAGGAAUACUCCCUCUCAUCCUUCCUUUUUUUCCCCAAUCUCUCGUUUUCUCUCUCUCCACCAUGGCCGGAAUUUCACCAUUGUCAAAACCCAACCAAAACUCAACACAAAUUCACCCUUUAAAUUACCAAAACUCUAAAGAAAACCCUCUGAUUUUCUCAACAACCAAACAAGACCCAAGAAUUAAUCAUAAAUACCCAGAAACCUUAAGUGUGGCAACUCAAAUUAAAUAGCAUUAGCGCAAGACUAAUGGAUGCAACCAUGGGGGUUCUCACCUACAAGCUACAAGAUACAUUCUGGUGCAAAGAAUAAGUGGAAAAGAUGAAGAAUUAGGGGUCACAUGUUUACCUACGGAACGGAGGAGUGUUCUAGUGGUUGUUGCAAGAUGAUGUUGAUAAUUAUGGGAACAAGAAACCCAGAGAGGAGACUCCAAUGUUUAGGUAAGAAACUCAUCUAAUUACAACUUCAAUCAUUUUCUUCUCAAUUCCCUUUUUUCUUGAAAUUUGGUUGAACCUCUGUUGUGGAGUGUUGCUGUUAGUGGUUGUUGUUAUGCUGCGAAAUUAGGGAAUAAGGCAGAGAUAGAGAUUUAGGUUGAUGAAGAUGAUGAUUGAUUGAUGAAUAUAGCAAUACUUGAUGGAACUUUGAGGAGGAUUGAGGUGAGUGCUUUAGUGAGUUGGAGGUGAGGAUUAAAGAGAUUUUUUCAAUAAGGUAAUGUUAGGGUAGAUCUUAUUGAUCGUGAAGGAAGAAAAAUGGGAGCUUAUAUAGUUGAGGGUUGAUGAAAAAUGGAGGGAAAUGUCGUUAUUCCAGUUAGGAAUGGAUUGAUCAAGGCCCUUGGAUUGUGAUCUAUAGCUAAAGUUUAUCAAUGGUGGAUAAUGGAUCUUAGGGGAGUUAGUAAUUGUGCUACUUUUGGAGGUGUGAAAAACACAAAAAGGGGGGUUUGAAUUGGUUUUUACAAAAACAAACGUUUUUUGCCAACUCAAGAACACCACUUAAAUGUAAAUAACAAAGAGAUAAAAACAUAAGUAUUUUUAUUCUUGUUCGCUUGAAACUCAAAGUUACUCCAGUCCAUCCGCCAAGGUGAUUUUGCCUUAUACACAAAGACUUAAUCCACUAUAAUCAACUGAUUACAAUAAUCACAAAGAAUAAUUUUCUUUGUCUUCUCAAGGAUCCGACUAUACCCUAGUCUCCUUAAGGAAUCACAAAAAAAAUCCCUUCUUUGUCUUCUCAAGGAUCCGACUAUACCCUAGUCUCCUUAAGGAAUCACAAAGAAUACCCUUCUUUGUCUUCUUAAGGAUCCAACUAUACCCUGGUCUCCUUAAGGAAUCAAACAAAUAGUUUGAAUAAGAGAUUGUGUGUUACAAGUUGCUUUUACACAAGCAUAUUUUAGACAAAUGAAUUACGAACACUUAAAGAAAAAUUGUAUACAAAAAUGAUAGUUUUUCACUAAGAAAUAGACUUGUCAAAUUGUUGUAACGCUUCAGCUUUUUUCUUUAAGUCUCUAAGUCCUGGUUAUAUAGUAUAAGAAGAAGACCGUUGGAGGACAAAAUAGGAAAUCCAAAUAGAGCAGUUGUCCAAUGUUUGAUGGUGAAAGGAGUCAUACUGCGUACUAUCCUUCGCCAAUAAAUUCAGUAACAGGUGUGAUGUAUAGUAUUGUCCUUGUCCACGAUAUCAGAUAGUGGAAAUAAUAUUUAAUUUUUACUAUGUACUAUUUAAUCAUGUACCCAUUUGAUCUUAUUUUCAAGUUCAUUGGCUUCUAAUGAAAGUUGAUGAAGCAUAAAAUGAAGAAACAUAAAGCUGGAUUCAGAAACUUCAGAAUCUUUGGUCAGAACCUUGAUAGUCUCAGCAGUCUGGCUUGAGAUCUUUAGUAUCUUCAGAGUCUUCAGAGUCUUUAGUCAGAACCUUGAUAACCUCAACGUCUGGCUUGAGAUCUUUAGAAUUUUUAGCUAAGCAACAAAACUUCAUAAACUUUCCAUUCUUCAUAAGCUUAGGAUCAGAGUCACGUCUAGAAUCACGAACUGAGAGAAUGUUGCAGUAGCAACAUAGCGUCUCCUUAGAAGCUUAUAUCAGGAGUGAAUCAACACAGAAGCGGAAAGAUCAUUGCAGCAACAUCUUUGAAUAUCUUUCAGAACUUCUUAUGACUGGCACGGAAGCGAAAAUGGAAGCAUCAUUUAGAAACUGAUGAUGUUACAUGUCAUAUACUCAUAAUUGAAACUGGUUGUUAAAGCUACACAAUAAAAAACCAUUAGAGUACCAAAAUUAUUCUCACACAAAUACAACAUUGUUAUCAUCAAAACUUAAGGUAUAGAUGCAGAACCAAAUCUUGUUCUAACAAUCUCCCCCUUUUUUAUGAUGACAAAACAUGUAUUUUGAUGAACAAUUUUGUACAGGGUAAUCACAGAAGGAUACAUUUUACAAAAGCACAAAGCUCCCCCUGAGAUGUAUAACCCUAAAAAGGAUAAAAUCAUAAUGAAAGAGCAUUUUCCUAAUUAACCUUUUGAAGUACUAGAAUGAUCUUCAAUCAAAAUUUGGUUUGUUUUUAGAAGUUGCUGAUGUUGUCCAGAGCAUUGGUUUGUUAAAAUCAACAUUCUGAUGAACUUCAAUUCAGAAGCUUAGAUGGAUUCUUUUGAAUUCUUUUGUAGGUAUUGUUGCCAUGUUGGAAAAUUUGAAACCCUUUGAGUUGAGCAUGCCUCAAAACAACAUAAAGUAAGGAUACUAAGUUGCAUUUCAUGUUGAUGCAUCCAAUCUGGAUUCUGUAAUUAGCAACUUUGCAGCUGGACUGAUUCGUGUGGUAUUGUUUUUGUGAAUUUCCUCGGCAUGUUACUAUAACAAGGGUCAUUAUUCGAUCAAUAUAUUUACUGCUAAGCCCACCAGAAUCAUUUCCAACAUUAUUGGAGAAACAAUCUUCACAAAUCGCAUACUUAUCAUUUUGUAUUGAUGGAGACACCAAAAUUGCAUCCAGUCCAUCUCUUUCUUUCUCAACAACAGCUUUCCGAUUUGAGUGGAAGUUCUUCAACAACUAUCAAAGAACCCCUGAAAAUAGAAACAUUUUCCAACUCCUUGAAGAAACAAUUGUAUGCCAAUUCUUUUGGUUGUUGUUGCAAAGUUAUUGGCUGUUGCAAUUGUGCAGGUUGAACAUUGUGAGAGAGACCUCAGUUUUGUGGAACUUGAUAUUAAAUGGGGGGAAAAGGUGAUUUAGAAGGAACUCUGCAACAUUGUUUCAGUCCUGUUUUGGCUGCUUCAACAUUUGUGAUUAGCUUAUAAAACAUUGUUUCGAGGGAGGUGGAUCCUUUAGAUUUGUGUUAGGUUGAUAUGCAGGUAAAAUAUGAACUGGACUAAGUAGUGACUCUACUGAUGAUAAUGGUUUCCUAUAUUCUUUAAAAUGCCCAUCACAUUUUGGUCAAUAGAAUCUCCUCGGUAACUAACAGAACUACAAUGUCCAUUAACAAUAGGUGAGGCUGGUGGUGAUGAUGAAUUACUUUGAUUGCUAUUACUGUUGGCAGACUUCAUAGCCUCGGCAGCACCUCCUACUUUCUCAGAGAUAACAUCAACGAUAUUCUGUCCAAAAUUCCAAAACCACUGGAUUUUUUUCUGUUUUCUAGGGAUUGUGGCUGAGCUUCCUGCAACGUCAUUAUCAGAUCCUGAUGUUGAGGUAAGUUCUGAGGAGAAUCAGAGGUUGGAGAGGGUGAAUUACAAGGAAUAGUAUCUGAAGUUUCAUUAUGUUGAUGAUCUUCUUGAUUAUCAUUAUUUCAUUAUGGCGUCAAUGGCAUGUUCUCAGGAGGAUCUGAGAUUGGAAGAGGUGAAUCAAUACGACAGAUAUCUGAAGUUUCAUUGCAUUCGUCAAGGGAUAAAUAAAAUGUAGUACUAUUUUUUUCUGAGCCCACUUCAGGAUCAUUGGCCUCGUUAGAAGGACUUGCGGAGUCAGAAUAUAUAGACGAAUCUUUGUCGUAGCCAGAACUUUCGCUUGGACAUUUAUCAUCAGAUGAGUUGGUGUGCUCGAACUGAAUUUUGUAUUGACUUUGUAGUUGACUUAUAAUGAUAAGUUUUUUUUUCAAGUAACGAAAAACAUUUCCCUCCAUUUUUGAAUUCAAAUCUUGAACUUUAAAUUCUCCUUGAAUGCUUGUAUCUAAAAUGCUUUCAAAAUUUGGCCAUGGUCAAACACCAAUGAGAAAGUCAAAGUGAACUAGUCAACAAAAUUCAACCUAUGCAUGAAAACCUUUGAUUUCUUCUUCUUUAAAAUCUCCCUAAAUGUAGUUAUAAUCCAUCUUGAAUGAGGAAAUCCAAAUAAAUAGGUCAACAAAAAUCAAUCUUUAAUAGUUGACUUUGUUGACCAAAAGUCAACCCUUGAUAAAAUCUAAAUAUUUUUGUAAUACCUCCCCCAUAGUCUUCCUUUAAGAAGUCCAAGCAAACAUCACUAGAACCAAGAUAGCUUGCAUCACAAGCAAUAAUGAGAGCCAUAUUUGAUCAGAUGAACUACAACUAUUGAGAACCUCUUAUUAAUCCUUAGACUUAAUGAUGUCACAUGUGAUGUCGAUGAAUGGAAACGACCCCUAAAUGAAUGAUUUAGAGAAGCAUGCUUGAAAUGAGCAAAGCUAUAAGCCAUAUGAAGAAGAAAAAAAGGUAUUGAAAAUUUUGGGGUAUGACAGCUCAAAAUCAUUUUUUUUUGUGAUUUAAUUAAAAAGUGAGAGGCUUAUCAAGAUAUUUUUUGUAUUUGUGAUAUAGCCAUAAUCUUUUCAGAAAUAGCAUUGUAUCUUUACAAGACACUGGUCACUCAGUCGGACACGACCAUUAAGUUUUUACACUUUCUCUCUUUCACACUCUAAAGCUUCAAAUCUUGGCAUCACGCUUGAAUUUAAGAUCACACAAGAACCUUGAGUCUUCUUGACGAGGCUUGAUAUAUCUCCAUGUUGAUUACCAUCAUCUAAGAGUUUGAAAGUUUAAACCGCUAGUGAUCCUUGAAACCUAAGUCUUAAUUUGAAAAUCGUUGGACUAUAAUGUUGAAUUUAAACAUAUAUUUUGAUGUUCAGAAGCAUAUCUUGAUUUGGGAGGAUAGCUUGACCAACCAUUUUGUGAAUCUUUGAUCGUUUGAACUAUCUUCAGUAGUUUUUUUACUUUAACGAUUGUCAUCGUCAAAACUAAGCAACUACUAGUUGGCUUGCAUCAUUUAUAUUCAUAAGUUUUAUCAUCUUUGAUCACUUAUUGACUAUACUUGCAAGCACAUAGAUCCACAAUAUAUACACACAUGUUUUGGGAUAUGCGGUAUUGUUUAGUUUUUUAAAUUUUAAGUAAUAAUUUUAUUAAAUUGUUUAAAAUUUAAUUAUACAAUUUUAGGGAAGACUAUAAGAGCAUAUGAUUGGAUUAUUUAUCAAUUGGGUGAUAGGUCAAUGACACCCUUAGUUGAAGCAGACAAUGAUGGAUAAUGUCCUGGUUAGAUUGUGAUUAGGGGCCGCAAACUUGUUUCUAUAGUAUUACAUCGUAAGAGGGCGAAUGGUGUUUAUGGAUAAUAGACUCUCUAUCAUAAAGGUGGUCGUAGAUGAGAAAAACGAGAUAUUCUUGUUGAGCUUGGAGAGGCGAGGUUUUAUUGGAGGUACAAGCACGAGUUGAAGUUCCUCCUUCGUUGACUGAGGCAUAUCAUGAUUAAGGUUCUGAUCAUGUGCCUCAUCAUGAUCAUAAGGACAAGUUAGGCCCUGAUGAAGAAGAAGUUGCAUAAGAGUUCCCAUGAGAACCCCCGUCAUGUUAGUGUUAAUGUGGUAUAGUGACCACAUAGCAUUAUGUUUAUGGCAAGGACAUGUAUUUGUAUAUAUAUAAUUAUUUAAAUUUAUUAAAUUAUAUGCAUUAUUUGUUAACUAAAAUGACUUGAAUAAAUUUUCCAAGACCGUGCAGUAUUGAAGGUAUCCGAUCAUGGAAUAAAGCAGUGGGAGUCGAUACCUGUUAGUUUUGUCCGUUUUAUAAAAGAUUAACGUCAAAUGAAACAUGUUCGUAAGCUUCACUGAAUUAGGAUACUGAAUUAGGAUGUGUUUGAAAUAUAUCACCUAUGUAACAUAUUUUUCAUUAUACAUAUUUCUCAUUAUGAGUUAAACUCAUCAGUUGUUGUAUUUUUGUGUAUGAACCUCUCCUAGUAGUACAUUAUAUGUGUGUUUUGUAUAUUUGUGUGACACUUGUCAAAUUCUAUGGACUUCAAUCUUUCAUAGUAGUACAUUAUAUAUCACGUGCUUUGUAUAUUUGUGUGAUAUUUAUCAAAUUCUAUGGACUUCAAUCUUUCAAUACUCCCAUUAUGAACCUCUGUGUCAUGUAGUACUUCGUCUUUUCAUUCAAAAAUUGUCUUUCAUCUAGUUUUAAGCGGUCGAGGAUAUCAUGAUCGUCUAAUGUCUUUGAUAGAUCUUGAUUGUGAAUACCUCAUCAAACUUGAACACGUCAACCGCCACCACCAAUCAGUGAUCUCGACUUAAAAGAAUAUUUAACCAUUUUAUUACAUAUGACUGAUAAAUUUUCAUUGUUUUUAUAAUUUCAUUUAUAUCACAAUUAAUAACUAACUUGUUGCUCUUGUCUUUUUUCUUUGACUAUAUCAAUACCAUGUUGUCGUCUAAUAUCUUGUGUUCAUAAUAAUAUUUUUGUCUAUAUCAAAAAUAUAUAUAAAAAAAUUAUAAACAAAGUUAGUACUAACAAAUAAGUUUAUAAUUCAAAAAUGAAAGUAUCACUCUAAAAUAAACAUAUUUCUAUAAUGGUGAAGAAUCCACUAAACUUCUCAAGAACUCUACACAUUAUCUUCGUCUAUUUUUAGUAGCUACAUAUAAUUAUUUUAAUAAAAAAACAUCAUUUUUAUAGAAGAUGAUGCUAAAAGUGAAUAACCAUAUUUUUAGAAAAUGUGGAAAAUACUUUAAUGAAAAAUACGGGAAAGAGGAUACUGCAUUUGUAUACUAACCUCAAAUAUGCGAUAUCUUUUCUUUAAAUGAUGAUAAUGAUCACGAAAAACCACUACCACAUUUUUUUGUUUGCUUACUAGAUUUUUGCUUUUGUCAAAGGUUUUUAUAGUAAUCUUUUUAAUAAAAUAAAAUUUUUGACAGAUAAAUUAUGAAAGUGGUGAAGUUAAUUAGGCGUGAGGUAUAGAACUAGAAGUAGGGGUGUUGUGUAAAAACCUCUAGUAAAACAUGCACAAAACCGGGGUUUUCUCUUCCUUUUAGUGAAGAGUCAUUCUAAUUAAUUUUGAAAUUGCCAUCCAAAAUUUAUGAAAUACAUUUUCGAACGCGAUUGAAUGUGUAAUAAAACACGUUAUAAGUGAGACAUCCUCAAUUUUAUCAAAAAAAAUAGUCUAUUUAUGUAUCUUUGGAUCAACCCUUACCGUGAUUGUAUUUAUUUUACAUCUUAAUAAAAAAUUCAGAGCACCAGUUCUGAAUUUGUCAAGUAAAAAAUUGAAUAAAAUAUCACCUUGCAUAUAUUUUUCAAUUUAGCGAAUAAUUUAGAAAUGUAGUUUCGGAUUUGUCAAGUGGAAAAUUGAAUAAAACAUUACCUUGCAUGUAUUCUUCACUCAUGAUCAUACCACCAUUCUUCUUCAAACUUCUUUCCAUAUUCAAUUAAAUUUUCUACUUCAAAACAAAAUUUCUUUGUUUUUUCAUAUCAAAAGUAGAAAAUGAAGCUGAAGUUUAAGGUAAUAUACAUAUAUUGUCUUCCUCAUUGCUUCUUAUAAUUUGUUUUUUUCUUUCUCGAAACCAGUAAAAAUAAAGGGUGCUUCUAAGAAGGUCAACCUAACAUAUACUAACAAUUCAACGAUAUGGUAUUUGUCCUAUUUCGAACAUGUUUACACAUUUUUUUUCCAAAUUCUCCAACUUCAAAAUCUCAAAAAAUGUUUUCAAAUGUGCUCUUAUUAGUAAAUCCUUCAUCACUUUUACCAAAAAUUAUACACGUUGAAGAGAUGUUGGUUUUUAUACACAAAUUCAUUGAACAAAUUGUAGAUGUUAAGGGUGACGGUAACUACAAUUAUUGCAUUGUUUCACCUUUGCUCGGUAUAGGAAAGGAAAAGUAUACACUUGUUUGUCAAUAACUUAUCAAAGAGUUAAAAACACAUAAGAAAUCAUGCAAAACGUUAUACGGGAAAAAAGAAUAUUUUGAUGUAAUUUAUGAAUCUCUUAUUCAUUGUGUUAGCGUUCUGGCACCGGAAAAAAUGGAUAUACUUUCCUGAAAUGGGUCAUCUUAUAGCAAAUGCAUAAAAUAGGGUGUGUAUUGAUCUGACAAGAUAUGACCUCUCGAAAAUAUUUUUUCUACUUCAAAGUGGCCCAUAUCAAAAUCUAACCUGAUGCAUUAUGUGUAUUGGGUGAUUUUCAAAAUCACUAUAUUUUAUUCAAAUUUAUUUGAAAUCGGGGUGUCUUAUACUAGGGACAUCACCAGAGUGGACGACUCAUUCCACAAAAGAAGUUGAAACUUAGUCGGAUAAUUGUUUGUAUUUGAUGGAAGAAUUCAUCAAAUUGAGCGAGAUUGAAAGAGAAUCAAAUAAGCAAAAAUCAAAGGUGGAUAAUUAAGUUUUGUUAUAGUAGGGGAUAAUUUGGAAUUGUCCUUCCAAAUUCACCAUAUUUUAUUGGGAAAAAAAUACUACCAAAGGAUAAUUUGGAACUUUAUUUUUGUAGAAACUCCUUUUUACUUGAUUCACUAAAUUAAACAGGGUUAACUCGUAAGUACAUCUCCUGAAUAUCCUCUGAGACAUAAUUAGAUUUCUAUGAUCCCUAUUGAUCUAAAAUUUGUAUAAGUAUGAGUGUCCCUCGUGUUGUUAGCAAAAUCACACACAAAAUAUCUUAAAAUCCAUAUCUUAUUUUUGUCUACUUCAACAACGAGAGGUCUCACUUGAAUUUAGGUUCACAAAGAUCACCCAUCUUGUCGAUCUAAAAUCUACGAUAGAGAAUCUAUUGUGAUGCUCGAAUAGUUAUGAAGCUCUAUUAUCGUUCACUCUCAAUUGACAACGAAGGGGAGAUACAAUUCAAUAAGUUUGAGUUGAAUACAUAUGAAGAUUUAAUUGUUAUGUGAGUACAUUUUACUAUUACGAAAUAAAAGAUUUGAUCGAAGUGGAUGCGAAGGUUGCAAGAUCGACUUAAGAUAUUAUAAAGAGGUUGAAAUAUCCUUAACCAUCACUUGAUGAUGAAAUGCAAUGUUGAAUUUACGUUAACGAUUAUCUAUGUAAUGUUACGUAUUUUAUGCAUGUCAUAACAAUAAUUAAUGUUAGUUUAUGUUAUUCUUUCCAUUUCUACAUUUGUUUUUGAUUUGGGAAAAUAGAGAAGAUUUCAGAGACAUGCUUCCGUAACAACUACAUAACUAAAUUCCUGGAUUUGUUCAACUUCCUUUUGACAUGUUUCUAAGAAUUGAUAGAGGUGAUAUUUUUGGUGCGACCGAAACUACAUUUUUAAAUUUUUGAGACAUUAUUGAUUUUUCAGCGUGAUAUGAGAGCACCACUAAGGGAGCAAGCAAUAAGCAAUCCCCUUUUCUUUUACUAAAUAUUGGUAGUGUUAUGGGCUAUUCUUGUCCGAGUAAUCUGUGGCAUUUCAAGAUUGUGUUUUCUCAAACCCAAGAUAUGUGUUUCAUGGCCAUUUACUUUUUUUUAAAGCUUGCUAUUCUGAUAAUUUCAUAUAUAAUGUUUUUUUUGGCCUGAAUGCAAGAGAUUUUUCAAUCCCCUAUCCAAAAAUGGGGUAUUCCUUCUCCUAUCCUAAUGAUGCUCACACAUCCUUGUAAAAAUCAAUAUACCCUUAAAAUUUAAAAAUACACUUUUAAACACACUUCAUCCACAUCACAUCCCUUUCUAAAUAAGUCACGCCCUCAUUUUACCCAAAAAAAAAAAGUCCAAAAAUAUAUUUCAAAAUAAAUUCGGAAGAAUAUCUAAAUAGGAGACCCACACUGGCACCUAUUUAGUUGGUGGAGUAUGUCACUCUUAAUGUACUUAAUACUUAUCUUGUCUCCAUUUUCUCCACCUCCUAUUGAUUUUCCAAAAACAUUACUCUUAAUGUACUUAAUACUUACCUUGUCUCCAUUUUUUCCAACUCCUACUGAUUUUCCCUCUCAUUGUGUAAAACAUUACUCUCGAUGUCAUGGUUAAGGAUAUUUUGAUGUGAAAAGACGGGAAGCAAACAUGAUUUAUGAGUAUAGUUUUUUAGAUCACACCUUGUGUGUAAACGAUGUUGUGAUUGGUUCUGAAAGCAAACAAGAUUUAUGAGUAUAGUUUUUUAGAUCACACCUUGUGUAUUAACGAUGUUGUGAUUGGUUCUAGAGGGUGCAAUACAAUUAUAGUUCCGGAUAUUGAAUAUAUUGACAUGUUGACAUCCAAUCUUGAUUUUAUUUUUCUAAUUUUCAUAUGUAAUUUCCUAAAUUUUUCCUAAAUUUUAAGUCUCCUCUGGAAGCUCCGAAUUUUUAUUCUGAAUAUAUUUUCAAACUAUUUCUUUUUUUAAAUGAAAGUGUAACUCACUUAAGGAAUUGUGGGGCGUGAAUAGUGUGGACAAAAGUGCAUUUCCGAAUUUUAGAAUUUGAGAUAUUAUUGAUUUUUCAUCAGGUGCGUGAACACCACUAAGGAUGAGAAAAAUAGUACCCAAAAAAUGUCUGAUUUUGCGCACCUAAAGAGAUAGAUUGAAAAACUACAAAAAAUAGAAAACAUAAUACGCAAAUUUGCUGAAAUUUCCCUAUUCAAGAGGAGUAGAAAUUUUGGCAAGGUUAAGUCAUUGACAGCCUAUAAUACAAAAAGGAAAACACAACAAAAGUAUAUUCAGACUGAAAUGUGAAAAACUCACUCGAUUCAAAUGUGCAUGUGAUAAAGAUAAAAGCUAUUCCCAUUAAUCAAGUUUCCAAACUCCAUGUUAAGGGUUGAAUGAGACAGGGUAAAGAAUCAAAAUGCCCUUUCACUUGUACUGGCAAAAGCAAAAAGAAUUACAUAUUUGCAAGGAAUCCUAACUUCUUGAGAUUAAAUGAUUUGAGUAAGAAAAAGCUUUCCAUAUCACCAGUUUCAAAAUCAAGCUUAGCAACAAGAGAUUUAACUCCAUUUCCAAUUCUAUUUAGAAACUCAGACCGAUGAUGAGUAUGAAAAGAGAGGAUGAAAAAGGUGCAACAGAGGAAAGAGGAAAAAGCUAGAAGAUCGGUACGAUGAAGAAUGAGUUAGCUUGAAAACCAGAGUAACACCGCCUAUAAUCGGAGUGUACAAUUUUACAAUUAUAAUUAGGCAAUAAAUUAUUCCAAACUAUGAAAAUCUGAAAAGUGAUGAAGACAUUGCUAAUUGCGUCGCUUUUUACACAAACAAGAGCAACUCAUCAAACAACACGGAUCAUCACCAAUCUUCUUCAAAGUAGACAUCCAGUUAAAUCAUGAUGCAUGCACAACAAAAAAAGUAACAGAUCGAUCAUGGGAUAGUUAUCAAGGGGCGUGAAAAGCAGGAAGAGCAUCAUUAAAUUUAACUGCACCAAAAAAAAAACGAACCAUUGCAAACUCCUAAGCCCAAAGUUAAUUCUCUUUUGCUAGAAACAACUGAUACAACACAAAAUGCAGUGAAAUUAUUGGACAUAACAAUCACAAGCAGUCAAUUCAGAUUAGUUCAUUGUACUUGACUGGUGCAAAUAGCAAACAUCAAUGUGACAAAUAAGGGUGGGAGGUAUCCAGAGCCAAUAACUUCAUCUUUUCAUGCAAAGUCAAGCACUGUCACUCCGCAAUGGUUAAACAUUUUUCUAUGAUUUCACAACGAAAGGCUACUUACUACAUAGAAACUAAUCACGCUUUGACCUGUUCAGCACGUGGCCUCCAUAAUCCCAGCCUGUACUUGUGUGCAUGUUUCAAUAUUAGCUUCCUCUGCCAAAAAGCAUAAACGAAUUGUGAGAAAGUUUGUUGGUGGACUGGCUAAUUGUAUGCCAUGUGGCCAACCACAAUCAAAUUAAUGUCACCAUAAAAUCAAUGUAACAUUGCAUAAACCUCAAUCCUGCCGAAAAUCGAAAGGUAAUUGUACUCCUGGUCUACAAAUCUUAAGAUUGAAAAACCAUAUAUACCACAAGUGACUAUCAUACGGGGCACAUUUUAUUUUCAAUAUUAGAGUCAUCAAUAGAACAUGGAUUUAUCUAGUGAUGCAUAUGCAUCCUAGGCACAAAUGUAAGAUACAAAAUAAUCUGGCAUCAAAGAUCCUCCUAAGUAUGGUGUUUGUAUUUUCUUUUAAAAGUCUAAUUAAGUUCACAAAGCCUGACUCGGUUGUUAUUUAUGGGAGUCAUGUGCAUAUGAGCAUCUUAGAUGCUGGUACUAUUGUACUAUAGUUAUAUACAUGCAUAUCAAACACGGGCAUAUGCCUUGCCGGAUGAAAAUGAUAGUACAUCAAACACCUUAGUCCACAAAAACAUGUGUAUCACACAUUCUUGUAGCAAGUUAGGACAAGUCUAUUGGCUAAAAGAAAAAUCAAGAUGGGAUGUGCAGAAAUCAGAAAUUGUUGUCGGCACUUAAAGGAAUUUCUUUAAAAUCCAAACAGUAAAAGCUGCAAGUUGAAAAGUAAUAUAGUUCAAAAACAUAACUUAUGUCAUAUAUCAACUCUAUUAAAAGCUUAAAUUGUUAUGAAAAUACUCAUGAAUGACUUGAUCAUGCCUAUGAAAACUUAUUUAUUUUGUAAGACAGAGAAAGCAACAAUACAGGAUCUUAAUGAGGCUUUAACAAAUAACAGUUUUUUCUACACAAAACAAUGGUCUAAAAGAUGCAACAAAAACUAAUAACAGUUAAAAAUCCUAUCCAUAGGCUUUAUCAUGCUCACUUAGACUACCAUAAUUUGUAUCUCGAACUCUCCAUAGGCAAUCUUACCCACGAGAGCAACUUAGUUCUUAUGGCUAACAUGAAAAAGAUAUAUUAAUUCCCAAAAUCCCAAAUUUUAUACAGAAGCUGAAAAUUGCCCUAUUCAAAAAGAGUACAAAAUUUGGCAAAUUUCCAAAUUCCAUGUUAAGGAAAAUGCACUUGUAAAUUGUUAUUAUGUAAAUAAACACGAUAAUGGCAUAGAGGAAAAUGUCUUACAUGUUUGCAAGGAAUACCGAGUUUCUUGAGUUUGAGGGUUCGAGUAACAAGAAGCUUCUGGAAGUCACCAAUUUCUGAAUCGAGCUUAGCGACAUGAGAUUCGACUCCGCUUCCAAUUCCGUUUAGAAAUUCUGGAAUUCCCACCUUGACUGCAAAUUGUAACGUAAACCAUAGAUGAGUACAAAAAGGAAUGAAAAAGGUGCUAAGUAUGGAGGAAAAUGGAGGAAACUUUACCAACGUAGGGUGAUGAUUUGGAGAAAGAUCUAGAAGAAGAGUAAGAUGAAGAAUGCGGGAGUGUGGAGAUCAAAUUAACACUUUCGCUUCUUAUGACUCUCUGUAACUGCAACAAUAACGUUGCCAUUUGCUUUUGAUUAUCAACGUGAUAUCAGUUUUGGGCGGAGCCUCGAACAGGAUUGGCCGGACGGGAAGGGCGUUGCGGCGGGAAUCGAACGAGGCGGAGCUAGGGUACCUGAAAUUGUUGUGUUGGAAGAAAGGGUGUUUCUGAAAACAAAUGAAAAAAAUUAUUUAAAAAAAAACAAAAUAAUUUAAUUUUGUUUUGUUAGACCGGAUGUAUUAUGAAAAUCAAGCCCGGUUCAGAGGAUCCACAUGGUCUUUCGGUUUUAUUUCUGUUUUUUUAUAGCAUCGGUGUUUUAGAUUGUUUGGACCGGUAAGAGCUUCGGUUUUCUAUCCAACUAAGGAUGAAAAUGGAUAGGAUUUGGACACGGUACUAUAGCACUUGUUCUCAUAUUCUCAAUUUGAAAAUAUUCUAGAAUCCGAGCUCAUAUUCGCGUGGGCACAACUAUUUGCACUCAUACUUGUAUUUUAUGGAUAGCUAAGUACACGUACUCAUACUCGUUUAUUUGCAUUUUUAAUAAAAAAAAGUUAUUGAUAAAGUAUAAUUUAUCAUGUCAUUUUAAGUUUUUAAUAGUAUUAAAAAAUAUUCAAGGAUUUUAUUAUUGAGUUAAGAAAUAAACACACAUUUAUAUUAAAAUGUGUACAAGUUUAAUAGUGAUGUAUUUAAUAAAAUUGAUAACCCUACAUGUGUAUAUAGUAAUAAAAGUAAAAAUACAUAAAUAUAUAGUGUGGGUAUGGGUGGGGUGGGUACUAAGGUGUCCAUACCCGCUUCUUUUAGUGGGUAAUUGCAUGUGUCCGCACUUGAACUCAUUUUGAGGAUUUUUACCCUAUCUAUUGUGGAUAACUUUUACGGGUACCCAUGGAGAAUGGAUCAAAUUGUUAUCCUUAUAUCCUACAAGUUUAAAUCAUAGAUUUGGUUUAACAUUGCAAGAUUUAACAUAAAAAUGAAGUAUUAAAAUUAAAUAUCGUUAGAACUAAGGCUGGUAAAAUGGAUUGGACCCGCGCGGGCGGGCCCGUUUGAUCCACCAUUUUUGGCGGGUUAGGGCGAGGUUUUCGUCUCGGUAUCUUAAGUUGGUCUGUCCCGUCUAACCCGCUUAAAAAAGAGGACGGGACGGGUUUUGCUUGCAUAUUUUUUGUUAAUUUUUUUUUACUUAGAAUGAAAAUUGGAAAUGCAUUGAGGAAGCCAAUUCACUAAUUUCUUUUCUAUUGGUAAAAAAGUUUACAUUAUUUUUUUACAUCCUUCCAAAGUUAGGUUUUUUCCAAAACUAACUUUCUUUCCAUUUGUUUCAUCUACCGUCAUGCAUAUUCCUCCACUCCACAACCGUUCUAUUCAAUCAUUCAAGUCAUUGUUUCUAUUUUGUUCUCCUUCCUCUCUAGAGACACGCGUUUAAGGUAAGCUUCAACUCAAAUUUUCUAUUUCAACGAUUUAAUAAUAGUGUUAUUCCUUUGUCUCAGUUCUUGCACUUUUCACGUUGGAUUUGUCAUGCUAAUAGUUUAAUUGAAUUGCUUGCUAAGACACACCAGUGAUAUUAUUGUCAUAUUCUUGUAUUACUCUUUAUUUAGGUGGAUAAAAGAUAAUAUUCCUUGUUUUUUUUAUAAUUAUAUUCUUCUUUUUCUUUAUUUGGAUAGCAUGAUACAUGAAUAUGUGAAGCAAUUAAUUAUAUUCUUCCAAAUUAAAUGUUAUUGUUUUGGGUUGAUUCAUUUGCAGUUUGGCGUGGGCUUAAUUUUUAACUUUGAAUAAUAUAAUAGUCAUUAAAAGAACACAAUCAACAAAUUGCAACUUCAAUAUUAGAAAAUUUUACCCUAUACCCCUACAAUUAUACCCAUACCCCUACAUUAAUUUUUUUUGACCAAAAUACCCUCAUUUCUGUAAAAAAAAUUAAAAAUUAAAAAUUAAAAAAAAACGUACCGGAAGACUUUAGGAAAGACUUCCGGAACACACAUAAUGCAUACCGGAACACUUCUCCAAAGAGUUCCGGUAUGCAAAUUUUUUUGAAUUUUUUUUUAUCUGAACCUAAAAACGUACCGGAAGACUUUAGGAAAGACUUCCGGAACACACAUAAUGCAUACCGGAACACUUCUCCAAAGAGUUCCGGUAUGCAAAUUUUUUUGAAUUUUUUUUUAUCUGAACCGGAACUCUUUCUUUAAGUGUUCCGGUUUGUUUUUUUUGUGUUCCGGAAGUCUUUCCUAAAGUCUUCCGGUUUGGAAAAAUACAUACCGGAAGUCUUUUUGCAAGAGUUCCGGUACGAGGGGUGUGAAAGUGUAAUUUUUGCAAUUUUCAACUGAAUGGUAAAAAUGAAAUGGUAAAUUGGUUAAAACCAAUUAAGGGUAAAAUGGGAUUUUUUAAAUUUUUGUAGGGGUAUGGAGUUAAUUGUAGGGGUACAAGGUAAAAUUUUCUCAAUAUUAAAGUAUCAACUUAUUUGGAGGAGCCUAACUUCGAUUCUACUUAUUAAAACUAUAAUGACUUAAAUGUUCUUCAAUGGUGGAAGGAGAAUAUGUAUAGGUUUAAAGAUUUAUCUUUAAUGGACCGUGAUUUGUUAGGGAUUCCUAUCACUACUGAUGCAUCUGAAUCGACUUUUAGUAUUGGUUAUGUCAUUCUUAAUAAGUACAAAAGUCGUUUGUUAUCGAAAAAUAUGGAGGCUUUGAUUUGCAUCCGCAGUUAGCUUCACGGUUUUAAUAGUUCAUGUGUAUAAUCAUAUUAAUCGUGAUUUUUAAUUGAUUUAUUUCUUUUAUAUGUGGUUUGUUUGGCUACAUAAAUAUAUGGUUAUAACUUUUUUUGAAUUUUAUUUUAUGCAGUUGUAGUGGGUGACGAUGACCAAAUGGAUGAUGGAAGGUUUCAACUAAUUGCUACGACAUCAACUGAAUCUUCAUAUGUUUACGACAUAGAUGAUGAUUGAUAAAGUGUUUGUCACGAAGCUUUUAAAAUUGAUCUUUUACUGUUAGUUCUCGGUUGUCUUUGUUUAACUUGUGUUAAUUUAUUUUAUUGAUUUGUGUCCAUGCAUGUCCUUAACUAGGUUGUGCUUGUUGGUUUUUUGGUAUUGUGACGUUGUUGUCAAAGCAUGAUUGAACCAAGUAGAAAAUUUUGAUAUUAUAGUGUGUUGAUUUUCAGUUUUAUGUGUUAUAAUUAUACUGUGUUAUUUAUGUUGAAUAAUACGACAUUUACAUUAAGACUUGUUGAAAUUCAAUUAUGUGUUGUUAAAAAUUAAUUUUUUUGGCAUCUUUGGUAAUGAUUAAAAUUUUUGUAAACUAUGUAGUAAAUCAAACUAUAAAAAAAUAUUUAAAAAUGACGGACUGGUCCACCAACUCAUUAGUAAACCUUGAUUUUUAAACUCGGAUACCUAAGUUGGCCUGCCCCGCCCCGUUUUUAGAUGAGCUUAAAUGGGGCAGACCUAAAUGGGACGGGCAACCCGUUUUGUCACUCCUAGUUAGAACAACAACAAUAACAACCACUAUAAGAGAUUAAAAAAAUUAAAGACAAUGAACACCAUCAAAUUUUGUUAACUCAGUUCGGUCAAUAGUACUUACCUCUACGAAUAUAGAGCAGUUAUAGUUGUGAAUGUGAAAGGAGUGUGCUCACCUUGAUGAUCUUCUUCUAUAUUUUCAAAAUUCAACCGAGAUCGACUGACACAGAGCGAGGUCAUGGUUUACUCUCCCUUAGGCAAGGCAAAAUGAUGUUCAAUGUGUAAAUCAAUAGCAUGAAGAACUUCAAGGAUUGGUACUACUUGGUCAUGCCCUCCACCAAGGUCUCCCAUGAGAGUAUUUGUGUUAUCCAACUUGAUGCUCCUCCAAGGUACUACAAUAGGUUCCCUAAAUUCGAGUACAAAAACCAUUUAUUGCUCGGCUGAUGGACUUAUGUCUACCUACUUAAUGAUUUGUCACAAAAUGAGGCAUAUAUGAAGAACAAGUUGGUGGCCUUUUGGAAAGGUUUGGGUUUUGUUGACAAUGUUGGGUCUUCAAUGGUCAUAUCGAGGAAGAAAAAGAGACAGUACAUAUAAACUCGUAUGUUAGUUCAAGCAAACACAAUAGAUGAGAGGUUUAUUAUCUUUGGCAAAUGAGUGGGUAUUUUCCCCUAUUUCGCCUUCAUUGUGCCAAAUUAGAUGUUCCCCGUGUUUUGACCUAUCUUUAUUUUUGCAUACAAGAUGGAUUGUUAGAAAAUGAUUCUCAAGCUAAGGAGGGUGUCGAUAAAUACCAUUUCUCCUUUUGAGGUUAGGAUCAUUUCAACUUUAGAGAAGGUCCGUUCCUUGGGAAAUCUUGUUGCUUUAUCUCCCUUAGCUCGUUCUUAUCCAUAACGGACGAAGACGCGAGGUUUGUCUAUCCAGCCUUCAUGCGAGGAUGUUCAUAGGUCAUCAUCAAUAGUAGUAGGUGAAGGUUUACAAAUGGUUGGUGCUAAUAGAACUCAUUUGGCCGGUGAGCCCCAUUUUUAAUAGGCCUCAUAGUGGGAAGCUAGGUUUGGGGUGGUCAUAUAUGUUGGAUAAGUGACUUCAAGCACAAGAGGUGGUUUUUAAAAUUCGUGAUUACUUUUAAAUUUUUAUUGAUUAAACUUAAAGUUGUGUUAAUAUUUUCUUAAGAGUAAAUAGAAAUGGGAAUUAAAGCAAUAAAUAGCGAAAAUUAAAAAGGAUAAGGUUAGAAAGAUUGCACCAAAGAUUUAUAUAGGUUUGGUCGAAUAUUAGCCUAGUCUUGUCCCUAAGAGAACUUCUUGAGAGUUUGACUAUAAACUUCGAACUUUUGAAGGUUAUGCCCACAAACCUUUAUAGAAUCUGAGUUUGAGAUUUUUACAGGCUUAUCCCCAAAUAAAUAUAGAUUUUACCACAUGCUAAGCUAACGAACCUUCUUAGAGAUUUUUAGGUUGAUCUUAAUAAUCAAAAAUAGAUUUUAUUUUGGAAAAGAUCAAUAAAUCAAAAUAGGGAUUUUAUGAUUAUUUUAUCUCAAGAACCAAACUCAAUCUUAUCAAAAGUAUCGCACUCCCAAGAAUUAAACAAAAAACACGACCACUUGCAAAAAUAUUUCCCACAAACAAAGUUUCACUCACAAGCACUAAGGGAACUUUUAAAUGAAAGAAAUAUUUUCUAGCGAGAGAAGGAGAAAGAAGUUAGAGAUAUAAAUUCCAAAUAAAAUGUAAAUCUUUGGAAAGUGACGUGAAAUGAAGAGGAGACGAGCCUCCUUUAUAUAGGAGUUGGAAAAUCAUAAAAGGAUAUAAUCCAUGGGCAUAAUUGAUGAGCCAAUAGAUAAGCUUAAGGCCAAAUUGAUUGGAUUAGUAAUUUUUAAUCGAUUACCUUGCCCGAUAUAGAAAUAUCCGAUAUAGAAUCAUUACAGGUCAUUAAGGUGUUGUCCUGAUCACUUGGUUAAUCGAUCAGGCCCUUUCCAAUCGAUUGGUGUAAUGCUUCAAUUGAUUAGCCGAUUCAAAUAGUUUACCCAAUUGAUUGGCUUGAGUUCCCAAACGAUUUCUUAGUUUAAAAAUCCUUUUAAAUGAUCGUGGACAACUUCUUAAUAACUUAUCUUGAUUUUGUAAACACUUUUAAGAUGUAAAAUGAUUAGAAAAAGUAAUUUAAGUGGGUGUGCAUAUGUAUGUGUGCGUGUGUAUGCGCAUGCGUGUGUGUGUGUGUGGGGGGGGGUAAGAUGUAAAAUGAUUAGAAAAAGUAAUUUAAGUGGGUGUGCAUAUGUAUGUGUGCGUGUGUAUGCGCAUGCGUGUGUGUGUGUGUGGGGGGGGGGUCCUUAAGACUCAUGAGCUACUUCCUUACUUUUACAAAACUAUGGCCACUCAGAUAGACACUACUUGGCGAGCUUUUAUACUUUAUUUGAGGCUUCGAGAUUAUUUGUUGGAUGCAUCAAUUAUAUAAGCACUUCAAUCUUGAGUCUCUUUUCUUGAUGAGGUUUUGAGAUGAUUUACUAGUUGGCUCACCCUCAUCACCAAUCAUAACUAUUUAUGUUACCGUCAUCAAAACUUUAGAGAGGAUCUUUUGUCGAGUUGUCAAGUUUAUACCUACAAGCACAUAAAUUCAUAUUCUCCCCCUUUUUUAUGAUGACAAUGUAUCUCUCACGAAGGUGGGUAGUUAAAUUUCCCCUAAAUUAGGUAGAGAGUGUACAAUAUCCCCUUUGAGAUAAUACUUUUCCUCCUUUGUCAAAAUCAAAAAGGUGAUAAAACUAUGCAUUAUGAGAAGUAAGUUAUGCAAACAUAAGCACAUAGAUCAUAUAUAAUUUGAGAUGAAAAUAUAUAAACAUAUUAAUCCAUGCAUUAAUCAUUUAAUAUUCCUAUCCCGGUUCUUAUGAAAAAGAAGUUUUCCGAUGGGAGUGGUUUAGUAAAAAUAUCUGCAAGUUGAUUAGAUAAAAUUACAAACUCAAGUACGCAUUCCCCUUUUUCAACAUGAUCUAUAAUAAAAUGGUUCCUAAAUUGUAUGUGUUUAGUUCGAGAGUGAAGGAUCAGGUUUUUUGUGAAGUUUAUGGCGCUAUUGUUAUCACAUCUUAUCGAGACGGCUCAAAGAUUAAUGAUGUAAUCGCUGAACUGUUGUUUCAUACAAAUAAUUUGAGCACAACAAGUACCUGCAACAACAUAUUCUGCCUUAGUUAUGGAUAGUGUGACACUUGCAUAUUUCUUGCUAUGCCAUGAGACAAGCGAGUUCUCAAGUAAGUGACACAUAUGGCUGGUACUUUUCCUAUUCAAUCAGCACCCAGGAAAAUCAGAGUUGAAGUACCUAGCUAAGUCAUAGUUUGUUCCCUUGGGGUACUAUGAACCCAUUUGUUAUGUGUCGAAGAGAUAUAUCAUAAUGUAUUUGACCACAGUGAGAUGUGAUUCUUUCGGGGAUUCUUAAAAGCAUGCAUACAUACAUACAAUAGACAUUAUAUCAGGACAAUAUGCAAUUAGAUAGAGAAUAAAGCUUAUUAUACCUCAGUAUUUUUUUUCUUCAACUUUUUUCCUUUUUCAUCUUUGUCAAUGUUGCACGAGGUUGACAUUAUAGUUGUUAUUACCUUGGAUUUAUCCAUAUCAAAUCUUUUUAAUAAUUCGUUACAGUAUUUGGUUUGACUUAUGAAGGUCCCUUUCUUGGAUUGAUGGAUUUGGAGUCCUUGAAAGUAUUUUAGCUCUCUCAUCAUUGACAUUUCAAACUCAUUCGACAUAAUUUCAUAAAAUUCCUUGCACGAGGAUUCGUUAGUAGCACCAAAGAUAAUAUCAUCGACAUAAACUUGAACUAAUAAUAUGUAAUGUUUGGCUUUCUUAAUAAAAAGAGUUUUAUCAACUUACCCUAGUUUAAUCAUGUUUUCGAGCAAGAAUUUGCUCAAGCAAUCAUACCAAGCUCUAUGAGCUUGUUUUAGUCCAUAUAAUGCUUUCUUAAUAUUGAAAACAUGAUCUGGAAAAGUUGGGUUGAGAAAACCUAGAGUUUGACCAACAUAUACCUCCUUUUUAAUGCAUCCAUUUAGAAAAGCACUUUUAUAUCUAUUAGAAAUAAUUUGAAAUUCAUGAUGCAUGAGAAGGCUAAUAACAUCCUUAUGGCUUCUAAUCUAGAUACAUGAGCAUAUGUUUCAUCAAAAUCGAUUCCCUCAUGUUGAUUAUAUCCCUUCGCAAUGACUUUGGCUUUAUUUCUCAAAAAAAAUCCAUCUCCAUCCAUCUUGUUGCGAAAGACCCAUUGGGUAUCAAUCACUAAAUAAGCUGAGGCUUUAGAAACAAGUUCUCAAACAUUAUUUUACUAAAAUUGAUUUAACUCUUAUUGCAUGGAAAUGGACCAAUAUUUAUCGACGAUAUCCUCAUCGAUAACAAUUGGCUCAAUUUGUGAAACAAAAGCCACAAAGUUACAUACUUUAUUAAGGGAUCUUUGAGUGGUGACUCCCUGGGUAAUAUCCCCAAUAAUGUUUUGGAUGUGGUGGUCUCUUGUCGGUCUCCAUUCCUUAAGAAAAAUUGGAUGUUUUGGUGGAGUAUUUGGAAUUUGAUCCUAAACAUGUUCUUCCUCUGUGACUUGAUUUUCAUUUUUCUCUUAAUUUGCCUCUUGAUUUUCCUCUAGAGUUGUCUUUUCCAUAAUACCUACACAAUCAACAACUUCUAAUUUUAGAGGUUUGUGGUUAGAUUUCUCAAAGGUAACAUGAAUUGAUUCUUUGAUUGUCAGAGUUCUGUUAUUAAAGAGUCUAAAAGUCUUGCUAGAAAUGGAAUAUCCUUUGAAUAUGCCUUUGUCGUCUUUUGCGUCAAAUUUUUCAAGAUUAUUUUUCCCGUUGUUAAGGAUAAAGCAUUUGCAUCCAAAAACAUAUAGAUGAAAGAUAUUCAACUUUCUUCCUUUGUAUAAUUCACUAGUGAAAAACUGAAAUUUUAACACCUAUUUUUCUUUUUACUUUUAACAUUUUUUUUAGUGGUGUUGUUGCUACCGAUAUGAUAAGUAUCAGCAUUUAACACCGAUUUUGAAGAAGGCAUAAAACCUCUCGUUAACACCUAUUAAUAGUAACAGUCGGAGUUAAAUAAAAUUAUUCAACAUUUGUUUUUGGAAAAAACAGGUGUACUUCCUAUAAUUUAUUAUAUAGGUUACGUUAGGUUUGGGGGAAAUUGGUGUUGAAUGAUGAUGUAUAACACCACCUUUUCUUAAUAAUAUUGUUAGACGUGUUAUUUUUUCAUAAACAAAAUUGUUGGCUAAUGUAUUUCACAUUUUGAAUAUAUAAAAAAUUAUUAUUUAAGAAAUUAUAUAUAUCAAAGUAAUGUAAAAUAAAACUUUUAUCCAUUUGAAGUCUUGCCAUAGUUACUAGGUGAACAUGUCAUGUAACAUUUUGCGUUGCUUUACUUACUAGGUGUAGUUAAUAAUGAAAAUCCAUCAAAUAAAGUUACCUUGAUAACCAAGAAGCUUUCCUUCCUCGUCAAACAAACUUGUAUCAGUAUUGGAGUACAUGAUCAUUUAUACUUGUAUGUCAUGUUUAACCAUGAAUACAAGUUUAUUACAAUAUUUUGCUACUAUAUGCACAUAACAAAUAGACACUAAACAAGUAGAACUUGAUAAAAGUUAUCACAUACAUCUAUUCAAACAAUUUGAUAGUGUGUAAGCUUUUAAGUACAAAUAAGCUAUAUGAUAUACUAUUUUAUAUUUUUUUUAUGACUACGAACAUUUCCAUAUACUAAUCCAAGAAAAUGAAUCCACUCACAAUGUUUUCAGAUUUGUCAAGUUAGUUGUAAGUCACGGAAAAAGAAAAUGUAUCCUUUAAAAUCACUUAUUAUCCUGCAUAACAAUAUAUCUUCCGCAUGAUAUAACUCAAUAAGAUAGAAAUUUAAUUUAAAUCAUAGAACACACUCUACAAAGCACAAAUAGAUACAUUGAUAUGGUCAUGUGACUCAUCUUAAAGGCUUGUUACAUUACUUCUUUGGUGGCAGGCUGGUAGCAACUGAUAUACACUCUCUCUCCUUCUUCUUGCAUCUGUACUAUUGACAUUGGCUAGGAAAUUUUUUGAUAUUUUUUUAUCUUUCAAAACGUCGAGCUGCAUAAAAAUGGAUGACCAUUUAUAAGCUUACAAUAUAAGAAUAUGUGUUGACCCUCGUAUUCAGGUCAAGCCCAAUAUAAAAAAAUAUAUAAACCAUUACAUUUACAAUUAGAAGUAUUAGAAAAGUGAUCCAAAUACUUUCCACGCCAUAGAAUUAAGUUGAUAUGAUUCCCAUACAUUGCACGAUAUACUUGAUGAUGAUCUUCAAAAUAUGGUUGUACAUGUGUAUGAAUGAUUGGUGGAGCGAUCAUAUGGACCAUACGAUACACCUCAGCAGCGAAGGGUAAAGGUAAUGCUUAUUAGGUGGACUGCAUAAUGUCUGGGGCUAAAGGAGAAUUGCGAUCCAAAACGCAGCGGAAAUUAAAAUUUUCUCCUUUAGAGAUCCUUACGAAUGGUCAUGAUCAGUGAUAGAAUAUUUACCUCUGGUGACGAUUGAAACCUUUGGUGCAGAUCUCUUGUGACGAUCAAAACCUUUGAUGCAGAUCCACGGAGCGAUCACGAACGUUGAACGAUGACAACGUCUCUACUCAGUCCACACGAACGGAUUCUUCAAUCUCAGUGCUAGCUGGUACGAAUGAAGGUUUUGACUGAGAGAGAGAAGAGAGAAAACGAAAAUAAUGCAACCGCAAUGAAUGCUUCUGCACAAGGUUCUAUUUAUAGAACCACUUGUGUGGGCUUCAAGCUAAAAAGCCCAUUAAGUGUAUUUUGGCCCAUAUCUUAUAAUAUGCCCAAAAUCACUUAAGCUCAUGGUACCUUACCAUAUUUCGUAUUCUACUUAAGUACACCGUACCUUUACGAUGUUCUACAAUUCACUUAAGGGCAUCGUAUCUUACGGUGUUCCUUAGUUACUCUAUCUCUCAUUAAUCCGUCCUUUGUGUGUGACCCUGUAGGUUUUCGCGGCAUUGGCAAUUAUAUUAAAUCGUGUAUUUAACAUAAUAAACAGUGAGCGGUAUCUAGCAACACAUCACUGCUACCCAAGACACGAAAAUUUCAUGUGAUCUGACAAUUCCUUCUGUGAUAAUACUUAUGUGUAUAAUUACCCUUUUGCCCUUAUGUCUAUAUUGAACACAAGACAUAUACCGUGUCAUCCUUGUCCAGUUCAAUAUUGGGCCCAUAGGCAUUUAUCCUGUUAUGCAGGAUGGGCAAAUUCCAUCUAGGUCACUCAUGUCCCUCAGCAUGCUUCGUGGAGUACCCAUCAACUGUCUUUAUGGUUAUCCAGUUAUGGACAACGUUUGAUCAAGCAUAAAGCACUCGACUCUACAUCUAUGGUCCAUAGUGGUUUCAGGUCGAAGAGUGGUAUACACCAUUAUCACCAUAGAAAUAACUUAUGACACUUUGCAUAACUUUCUAUAUAGUAUUCUCAUAGCGGGUCAAUCCGGUAUAAAUAUUACUCUAAUAUUCAUACCUAUGUUUAGACUUGAUAACUCCUUAUCCAUGAUCCAUGAGAUGUGAUCAUCAGUCUAUAUACAUAAUAAUCUUAAUGCUUUAAUGUCAUCCCACUUCACAAUAAAGCUCGACUACGGAUACUUUAAGAAUAGUGUCCUUAUGUUUAAUGUGAUCUCAUGAUUAAGUCAUACUUGCUACAUUAAACAGACUAGCUAUUCUAGGGACUUUAUUAAACAAACGUAAUAAAGAAAAAGCCUUUUAUUAUUAAUAAAUAAUUCGAUACAAGUACCAAAAGUAUUGGCCUCUAGGGCUUACACCAACAGGGGCUCCUUCAAACGGUGGGGUGUAGCCAGGAGGUAGACCAAAAGGUGGCCAUGUGGUUGGCACAAUUCUUACAGGUUAUGGCUCGAAGGUAGGACGGAUACCUCUGAUAUGACCGUUGCUUGAGGAAUGUCCAACUUGGCCUUUAUGACUUGAAGCAUUUCCAUGAUCUGACCAAUAUUCCCUAUGAGGUCAUCAAGUUCUGAGCUCAUCCUUGCUAAUUCUUGUUCUUGAUCAGCCAUCUUUCACGAGCCCUGACUCGAGUAUUGUAACGGUGUUGAGGACUCAGGAUGGAAUUUGAGAAAGAAAACAAAAUGAGUUUUUAUUCAAAAAAAAAGUAUGUUGAUAAAUGUGAAUGCAUGCUUAAUGCAUGGCUCUUGCUUUCGAGGGAAUCCAAGAAUUUUAAUCAUUUGUAAAAAAAAAUCAGAAAUGUGAAAAAUAGAAAGCGAAACAACUGCAAAAUGUUGUGACAAUAACUUCUUAUUUCAUUCAUAGUCGGGAAACUGAGUACAAGAUUUUUUUUCAAAAAAAGAAGAAAGUACAAUAAAUUAAAUUGCAUUCUCUUUUCGGAACCUUUUGAGCAACUCUAGCUCAACCUUGAGAUUCUUCAACAUAGCCUUACAUAAUAUAAUGAAAUCGAAGACCACUAGAGGGACAUUCUCGUAUGUCAUGUUCUCCAAGGCAUUGUCCAACCUUAGAGGAAAGGUGCAUAAAAUAUCAUUGGCAAGUUUGACUACCUCGACACACUUGUCGUACCAUUUCCCAGCUUCUAGACGUGCGUUGAAAGUACAUAUUUUCUUUCGAUGUAGUUUUUCCUCCACAAAUUGGAUCCUUUCAUCAUGCUGCUUGCAGGUCACCUCAAGAUUUUAUAAGUGAACCCCACAAGCUCUUAAAUAAGCCAAAGCUCUUCUUAGAUCACCAUGAGGGGUUUAUAAUUUGCUCGAGUUCUUCUCGACGGUAAGUCUCUUGAGUUGUGUGCGCUUGGGAUUGUUGUAAUAGUUUAGAAAGUUAUAGGAUUCGAGUCUUGAACCCUAUCCUCAUAUCCUUCCACUCUUUCAAGGUUUGAUUCCAAAGAACUUCCCACUCAACUUCGCUUCCAACCUUUGAUAUGUUGAUUCUUAUUGCUGAUAUGGUGCUCAACUCCUAAUAUGCACUCUUUGACUUUUUUUCUUUUGUUCUUUCCUUUGUCAAGCUCAACAUCUUUCUCUAUGAGCAGUUUCUCCUUUUCGUUGAGGUUGAUCUUUAUUUCACUCUUCUUAGAGGUAACUUUGUAGAGACUAACUUCUAAUUCUUCCUUUUCACGCUCAAGCCUAAGGAAGUUGCCUUAAGCUCAUUAACUUCUUAUAGAGAAAUAGGAUCAACUCUGGUGACGGUGGUCGAGUCAUAGGAGAAAGGAUGAAAAGUAGUUUGACCAUUUGGCUUCUUUGUUUGACCUAACGAUAAUAGAGCUCUCUAGAACCAUGAAUGCUUUUUCCCAGGUCUCUUCCUCUCUUAUGGACAUCAUUCCACGCUCGAAGGAUCCUCUUUAACAUGGUUAGAUCUCCCUUAACAUACCACAUAAAUCCCUCUAGUAACUUGUCAUUAGGCUUGUACAAUAUAAGGUAUCCCAAUUGUAUCAUAGCCAACGAAAGGUGAUAGUUUAUACAACCUUUUGAACCGAUAAGUUGGACAUUUGGAAAGUCCCCACAGUUGGACGUCACAUUUCUCUACGGAGCCUGAGAGGAUACCAAAAGAUGGAUUUUUCUAUGAGUGACAUUAUGCAUUGAAACCAACCACACCCAUCCAUUUUCUCAACCAUGUACAUGUUUUUUUGUAGAUGGGAAAUGAGACAUUGAUACAAAACUAGAAUACGAUAUAACAACAAACCUUUCUUCUUCUCAUGGCACAAAUGGAGUGUAUGGUAUGCAUCUGCCAAGAGUGCGAGUAUCAGAUCUUCAUCCUUAACCCUAACAGACCAAAAUACACUAAUGGUCACUACAUCAACCAAAUCUUCUACAUUUGGGAAUAUUACCAAACCAAACAUGAGCAAGGCCAUGAUGGUUUCGCAGGAUUCCCACCUCUGGGCGUUAGCGGACUCUUGGGCUUUCCUUUCCGAAAAUUCCCUAGGGAUUCCCUGGACGUCUCCUCGGGUCUUUAUAUUAGGCUUUAUAUCAGGAAACGGGAUGCCCAAGACUUCAGAAAGAUCUUCAGGUCCUGGGAGUUCCCCCAGUCCUCUGUAAGGUCCAAUUUUCAUUUUAGAGGAAUAAAAAUAUAUUAUAGAUUCCUCUAAUGUUGGAGCCAACUAAAAAUCUUGAAAGAGGAAACUUCUUAGCAGCUGAUCAUAAAAUUGAGCUAAGGCCGAGAUAGUUUCUUUUUGCACAGGGACAAAAGACUCAAGAUAUUCCCAUAUUUGAGGUCAAAAGCUUGUCUUUUGAUUCCGGUCAAAUUCUCCUUGAAAGACAUCAAACUCUCCACAAAAGUCACUUUAACUUUAAUUUGAACUUUCCUUUUUGUUUAUGUAUUCGUUUUCUGAAAUACUUAAGGAUAAUUUCCAAUCUUUCUGGAUUCCCUAAAAAUAAACGAAAUAUGAAUGAUAUGUUAUGUUCAUGCAAAGGUGGAGAGUUUAAAGUUUACAAAAAAUCUAAAGGGUUGGCCUUUUACGGGAGGUUCUAUGUACUUUUACCCAACCUUGACAGGGAUAGCUAUAUGGUUACAUUUUAAAGGAAUCAACCUAGAGUCACGAGCUUGUUAGAAACCUCAACGUAAUGGUGGGCUAGCCACACCAUGAGGAAGUGCCUAAUAGGUCUACUCUAGGUUGGGUUUUCAUAUCGUUCCAAUGAGAUGUGGACCUCUCGGUUCAAUAUGAGAGCAUUUCCUUCUUAAAAUGGUUUUUUGGUUCUAAACACAAUUCUUAGAGUCAUGGACCUUAUCGGAACUUCAACACAAUGGUGGACUAGCCACAUCAUGAGGAAGAUUCCAAAUAGAUCUACUUUAGGUGAAGUCUUCGUAUCUUCCCAAAGAGGUGUAAACCCCUGGUCCAAUACUACGUGACCUCCGACCCUAAAACAUGUUUUUUUGGUUUAAGCAAGGUUCCCAGAGUCAUAGAUCUUAUUCAAAUUUUCAGCAUAAUAGUGGGCUAGUCAUAUCAUGAUAAAAUUCUGAAAUGGGUCUAGUCUAGGUGAGGUGUUUGUAUCAUUCCAACGAGAUGUGUACCUUU
rnacentral:lncRNA from 1 species